rnacentral:lncRNA from 1 species
AGGGAGAAGGCGGAUUCAAACGGAAUGGUGAAGGUUAAGGAAAAAGACACCAAGUCAAAGGCAAGCGAAUUGUUGUUGAGGAGGAAGGCGAUCCACACGACCAACAAGGCGGCUUAGAGAUACGAGUGCGACGCUGAUUAUCGCUUUUUGCACGACUGUGUUUCGGAUAAUUUUGCCCAGUGCCUCAAGUUUGAUAUUGAAAAAUUCAUCAUCACAAGGACCAUGACCAUCAUGAUGAUUACUGCUUGCAGAUUACCCAAGCAGCUACCUAUUUGCCUACCAUCGCUGAUCAUUGCAAUGAAGGUUUUCCCGCCAGAAUCAUGCCUCCGAGAAGGGGAUGGUAGUGUUUGUUGUAUUGACCGACUGAGGAAGGAGGUUUUGUUGCCCUUGAGAAAAACUAUGGCGCCAUAGGGCUGGGAACCUUCCAACCGGUGGGGUUAUAGAGCGAAGAACAAGCGAGAGCAACUGGCUCCAGCCAAUGAGAUUGAUCCUGACGAUGCAGCGCUGCUUCCGCUGACGAUGCAGCGCUGCUUCCACAUGACAUAUUAAGUUAUAUCAAGUAUCCUGAGCUCGAGCAAGAAGCUAAUAUUAAGUGGAAGAAAAUGAUGGAGGUCUACUCAAAGCAGGGGAAGUUGAAGAAUUGGUUAGCUGUAUGUUGUCGACAACACCUUGUUGGUGAGUUUGGCUUUGGGGCUUUUGUUGCCUCAAUUGAGUGACGAGCGAUGGAAGGGAAAUGUGGUCACCUAAAGCAAAAACCUUUAGCUGCAUUCGAUACAAGGCGAUGAUCUUAAUUCGAGGGCCGAAUAUUAUGCAGACUUUGAUCAAAAGCCAGGACUGGACGGCUGAUUUCAAGAAGGUGUUCGAUGUGAUUCUAGAAGAGGUAGUGAAUGCGAAUUUGAAGCCAGAUAAGAUGGUCAAGAAGGUGCUCGCCUUGACCACAUACAAACACUUCUUGACAGGCAGCAACCUCAGCUUCUGGGGGGAGACUAAGAUGUCUCCCUUUCUUCUUCUAGUUUCUGCUACUACUUUCACUUCUCCAAAGCUCUCAUUCUUUCUUUGAGUUCUGAUGAUACUAAGAGAGAGUAUAUAUGUAAUUAAUACUUUUGCAGAGAAGAGCAAAGUGAGUGACGAGAACUAAAAAAGUGGGACUGGAAAACGGUAGGCUUAUAACGUUCAAAUUCUAAUGGUCACUUUUAGUGUAGGCAAUGGAAACGAAUAAAAUGUGGGGCCUAGACUUGCUGCCUCAAGUGAUCUGGCACUGGCACUUCCAAAUGUAAAGAAAAAAGGCACAAAGACAACUAGAUGAGCACCAUAGCCUUAAACAGGUUGAUCUUGCUUUGGAAUUGUUUAUUGAUCCGAGGUUAUUUUUCAACUGAGAUUUGCUUUGGUGAGCAUGAACUUCCCUACAUUUUGGUUUUACUCGGGCCCCACUGUUGAGGCCACUCAUGUGAGAAAGGUGACACUUGCAUAGCAAUUUAACCAAAGAUUUUCUUCAGGUGACACUGAUCGACCAACAAUUCAUAAUCAUUCAUGUAAAAAAGUUGGCUUAUGCAAAAACACUACCAAAGAGUCACAUUAGGGUGACACCGUAAUGAAUCAACAAUUGACAAUAACUCAUCUAGAGCCAACUCGUGGCUUUUGUUUAUAGGCAUCUACUAAGAUUGCUUAUGUUUUAUUAUACCUACUUGGGUAUCAGAUAGAAAAGGGUGGUGCUAUUCACACCUAUUUUACCUCCACCCACUCUUCUCAAUUUUCGACCGUCGGAUCGAAUGAAUUAAAAAAGACCAAAAGACAAAAAUUACCAAAAAAAUGUGUGAGAAAUUAAAAUGGGUGUGUGAAUAGCACCAACUAUUGAAAAAGAAACAUCCAUUAUUUUCCUUUUGAUUAAAAGUGGAGAUUUACACCGCAACAUACUACCACAAAAUUGACAUGUAAGUUUUACUCAAGGGCAAGUACAUCGGUGCACAAAAGGAUAAAAGGCGUGCAUAAAUCAUUUCCCAUUAUUUAUCACCUUCCUUCUCUAAUAAUGCCAGCGAGCAGUGAUUGAGUGAUGUUUACUGGAGAAGGCGCAAGGUCAACCACGGGGGGUGUUAGCACCACUUGUAUAGCCUUCAGGCUCAUAGUUGAGGCGGUCAUUACUAUGCUUGGAUGCAGUUGAUGGGGUAUCAUCCUUCAUCAAAAAGCUACAUGUUGACAAUGUCGUUACAUCUUUAAAAUCAUAAUAUGUCAAAUAGCUCGGCUUCGUCAUGAUAGUGCCUAUGUCAAUAUCUUCAGAGAGCAUUGCCACCACGCGUGACAUAUAUGGCCUCGUCAUUGGUGAUGCCUGUGUGCACAUGAGAGCUACUCUUAUCAGUCUAGUCGCUUCAGUUUCGUCAAACUCUGUCAAUCUCGGAUCCACCAACCCCAUAAUUUGGUCAUUUUCAUGUAGAGUCCAUGUAUGAAAAACAUUAUGCCAUGGUCCAAGGAAAGGGUGAAUAAGUUUUUCACAACAAUGCCAAAAUAAAGCUAGGGGAAUGCAAUUCCUACCCAUUCAAGAAGAUAAAUCUCUUAUGGAUCUAAGUUAUUGUCAGAGUUUGGUCUCCCGCUGGGGAUCUCCAAAAGCAACGGCUCCAAAACCAAACACAUCAGCCUUCUUUAUCAAAUGUCCACGCAUUGCAUACUUGGGUGCCAAAUAGCCUCUGCAAUGCAAUAAUCAAAUUGUUGUACAAUGUUUCUUUAGAUCAUGAGUGGCAUUAUUAACAUGAUUUGUGUUAAAAUUUCAUGCAAGUAUAAAUGUGUGGCUAUAAUAUAUGUAUCUUGUGGAAAAAUAAUAAAGGAUGGCUUACAUUGUCCUUGCAACCCAGGUGCUGAUGUGGGUUUUCUCGCCAUCAUAAAGCUUUGCCAAUCCAAAAUCUGAUAUUUUUGGGGGGAGUUCUGCAUGAAGCAAAAUAUUAAUGGCUUUGACAUCUCGAUAUAGAAUCCUUGGCCUUGACUCCUCAUGGAGGUAAGCAAGUUCUCUUGCUGUUCCCAACAAUAUAUUGAAUCAAGUAGGCCAACCAAGGUGCAAGUUACUUGUCUCUGAAAUAUUAGUGAACACGUCCAAUCAAAAUCAAGGCUCAUUUUAUAGACCCAAAAAGGCAUUUUCUUCUUUAUUAUGCAACUGGACCAUCAACAUCAAGGCUCAAUUUAUAGACCCAAAAAGGCGUUAUUAAAUUAUCUGAAUUCCCUGAACACAUUCUUAAUUUUUAGUGGUGGGAUCUCCAUCAAGUGGUGGUGGUUCAUGAACAUAUCUAUAAACAUUGUGUAUGAAUAAGUAGGAUAUACAUCCAUCUGCUAAGGUAUAUUCAAAUCUGGCAUGCCAGUCCCUGCCCACUACCAAAAGCCAAAGCUAAAUUACAAUUACAAUUAAUUAUUAAAAUGUGUAUUAUAUAAAAGGAAAGGGUCCAAAACAAGUACAAGGGUGCACAAAGGGGUAAAAAGAACAUGCGAAAAUCAUUUCCCGAUAUUUAUCACCUUCCUUCUCCUCUAAUGCUAGCGAGCAGUGAUUGAGUGACGUUUACAGAAGGUGUAGGGUCAAUCCAGGGAGUGUUAGCACCAUUUGCAUUGCUGCCUCCCGACUAAUAGUUGAGGCGAACAUUACUACCCUUGGAUGAAGUUGAUGGGGUAUCAUCCUCCACCAAAAAUCUACUUGUUAACGAUGUUGUUACAUCUUUAAAAUCAUAAUCUGUCAAAUAGCUUGGCUUCGACAUGACAGUGCUUAUGUCAAUGUCUCCAGAGAGCAUUGCAACCACACGUGACAUAGAUGGCCGUGCCAUCGGUGAUCCCUGCGUGCACAGGAGAGCUGCUCUUAUCAAUCUAGUUGCUUCAGUUUCAUCGAACUCUAUUAAUCUCGGAUCCAUCAGCCCCAGAGUUUGGUCGUUUUCAUGUAGAGUCCAUACCUGAAAAACAUUAUGCCACUGUCAAAGGAAAGUAUAAAUAAGUUUUUCACAACAAUGCCUAAAUGAAGCUAGGCGAAUGCAAUUCCUACCCAUUCAAGAAGAUAAAUCUUUUCUGGAUCCAAGUUAUUGUAAGAGUUUGGUCUCCCGCUGAGGAUCUCUAAAACGACGACUCCAAAACCAAACACAUCGGCCUUCUCUGUCAAAUGUCCAAACAAUGCAUACUCCGGUGCCAAAUAGCCUCUGCAAUGCAAGAUAAUCAAAUGGUUGCACAAUGUUACUUAAGAUCAUUAGAGGCAUUAUUAACAUGUGUGAAAAUUUCAUGCAAGUAUAAAUGUGUGUGGCCAUAAUGUAUGUAUCCUCUGGAAAAACAAUAAAGGAUGAUUUACAUUGUCCCUGCAACUCGGGUGCUGAUGUGGGUUUUCUUGUCAUCAUAAAGCUUUGCCAGUCCAAAAUCUGAUAUUUUUGGGGAAAGUUCUGCAUCGAGCAAAAUAUUACUCGCUUUGACAUCUCGAUGUACAAUCCUUGGCCUUGACUCCUCAUGAAGGUAAGCAAGUCCUCUUGCUGUUCCCAACAAUAUAUUGAAUCGAGUAGGCCAGUCAAGGUGCAAGUUACUUGUUCCUGAAAUAUCAGUGAACACAUCCAAUCAAAAACAUUUCUUAACAAUUUUAGAGUGCUUGAAACUGCAGACAAUGUUGUUUCUAUGCAACCUAAAAGUAGAUAGGUUUGUACCAAAAAGUGCCUGAUCAAGGCUCUUGUUUUCAAGAUACUCAUAAACCAAAAUGUGGUGGCUGCCUUCAAUGCAGCAUCCAUACAAUUUCACUAGAUUCCGAUGUUGCACAGCAGAUAUGGUAGCAAUUUCAGAUACAAAUUGACUCUUCCCUUGGUGAGAUGCUACUGAAAGUUGCUUCACAGCCACUACUCUACCAUCAGAAAGUGUACCCUACAAUGUACACAGAAACACAAUUUAGUGACGUGAAGGGAAAGAAAACAGAAGCUAUAUGUUCUUUUCUCGCUCUCUCUCCUUUCUCUUGUCAUUACUUCAAGUACAUGAUAUUGAUGUAAUAAGGAUUUCACCUUAUAAACGGGGCCAUAUCCUCCCUCUCCUAGCUUAUUUGAAAGAUUAAAAUCUUCGGUUGCAGCUCUUAAUUCAGCAUAACUAAAAGUAUAUGGCCAGGGGCCUAAUCCUAGAAUAUCUGCACAUUCACAAAACAGUAUGACAUAAGUUUUACUUCAGUGAAAGCCUUCUUACUUUUGUGUGUUAAUGUCAGAGCAAAGAAACCUGAAUUGGGUACCAGUAAUGAUAUGGUCGUUUACCUUCAUCGUCUUCUUUUUCUGUUUUUUUCCUCCUCAUAAAUAGAAUCGCAAAUAUUAAUAGCAAGCUCACAACUCCAACAAGAACUGCAAUACCGACUAUCAACCCAGCCUUGCUCUUCUUUGUAAAAUCUAAGUGAUAAAAGAGACGAAUUCUUCAAUGUCAAUUAACAGCAUAAAAAUACAUUUAAACCACUCACAGGAAAUCUCUAUAAGUUAUCAGAUACUAUACCUGAAGAAGCAUGGACAGCUGCUAUUAGUGGGCCGUAAUGACCAUAAUCGGGUAUGCAACAAGUCCCUUUACCAGCCCAGAACAGAUGAAUUUCAAGAUAAUUCUCUGACAUGCUAACAUUAAAUUUUCUCACAACUGCUCGGUUAACACCACCUGCCUCCUUCGAUAUGUCAAAGUCCUUCGUCCUGCGGGUACCCUAGCAACCAAAUGAAGAGGUAGGUGAUAAUUCUAUUCUCCUUUAAAUCACUGUCUUUAGUUAAUGUAGCUUAAAACAUCGAAAACCUGUCCAAUGAGGUGUUUACUUCAAAUAAGUUAAAAUUUUUAUUCUAUAAGCAGUCUUACCUGGAUAUAGAUAUCAAAUACACGCCGUCCUAGACUUUGCCAAGUUUGCGAAGUGCGACUUUCAUAAACCGUCUCUGCAAAGUGCAAUGUUACAGUGUAGGGCCCAUUCUCAAGGCCCAGGCCAUAGUAUCUCAGUGAUCCUGUGGACACUCUUGAAGUCUGGAAAAGCUCCGGGGUCACGUCUGUUCCGGUGACUUGUGCAUGGGUAUUUACCAACGAUGGGGUAUUUUCCCGAGACGAUGAGGGGGACGAUGAGGGAUAUUGGUCAGAAAACAAACCGGCAUUGCUGACUGCCCAAUUCUCUGCACUGGUUACACUGAAUGUUGCUGAGCCAAGAACUGAUUCAUCAGUCUCAUACAAUAUGCCAUCUCCCUUCAUUUGCUGUCCACCACAGUUGAUUGAGAAGCUUGCAUCUGUAAAGUUUCAUGUAAUACGAGAAUCUACCCAUGAUUAGCGAUGAAACUUCAAAUUGAAGACUCAUACUAAUGUUCUUCAGUCACAUAUUUCUAACCAGUUAUGCAUAUUACUGAACUUAUGAAAACAUGCUUGCAAUCUAUACCCAUAUGUAUACAUAACUAGAGAAGCAAUGCCUUUUCCUGUAACAUGAUGUUGCGUUAAAAUAGUAAAUGAUGGGUGACAUAAGAGCAGAUUACAUCGUGGGGUAUUUCGAUUGCAUGGAAAAUUUCUCUGGAGGCAAUUCAAUCCACGAAGACUGCAAACACAGAGAACAAUUAUUAGUUAUCCAAAUAGAAUCAUGUAGUGGAAGAGUAGUGAUGGUAUUGCUUGUCUAAAACGAGUAAGAGAAACUUCAACUCACGUUAUGUUUGAACUGUCAAAUGUGAAGUUGUUGACCACUAAGUUCCUGCAUAAAAUCAUUAAUCAAUCAACAUAUGAAGAACUAUAUCUUUAUCAAAUGAAAAUUCCAUGUACAAGAUCAAAACUUAGUAGGCAAGUAGCACUGUGAAAACGAAUCUCAGCGAUAAUUUUUUGUCCGAACAUAUUUUGGUGAUUUAAACUGUAGAAUGAAGAUGAAAGAUAAAAUGACACGUACACUUGCGAUAUAUUGGUCACCCACUGGGGAAAGCUUCCUGAUAAAAAAUUGUAAGACAAAUCUCUGCAAAUAACAAAAUAAAAUCAGAGGACACAAAAUGCAUGAAAGUUAUUAAGAGCUUGUGUAAGAUAGGAUUAGAAUGCUUAUGGUUAUACACAAACACAUACAUGCACCGUGCAUUCUAUAUGACUACUUUAAGAAACGAGGACUUACAUGGUCUGAAGUUGAUCGCUCUUUUGGUUCAGAAGAGGUCCGGAGAGACUAUUGUUUCCAAGAAACCUGGCCAUUUUGAUUAUAGUAGAAAGGCACCCAGAAAAGAAAAGGAGAUGAACAAACAAAAGGGAAUGUUAAAGAUUUGAUAACUUAUGCAUGAUAAGGCAAGAAAAAGAUAAUAAUAAAGACGGGGAUUACAAGGAUUCAAGAGAACUCAAGUUGAACAAAGAACUUGGGAGUUGGCCUGUCAAAUUGUUGAAACUCAGAUCCCUGCACACCAACGAUAAGUUGAGAGGAGCAAUCAGAAUGAAAGAAGACAAAUUGGUCUCGUUGGGACUCAAGCUUAUAUUUGCUGGUACGUACAGUGUCUCUAGACUUUGAUAUUCUCCAAUAUUAGAUGGGAUGGUACCAGUGAUUAAUGCGUUUCGUAGUUUUCUGUAUUCCAAAAACAUAAAAUUUGAUAAAAAGAAGAUGGGGUAAGAUAUCAAAUUUCAAAAUGAAAAAGAAGUUAGAUGAAAGUAUCUGGAUUGAUGAGAAUCUUCACUUACAAUUCAGUCAAGUUUUUCAGAUUUUUUAUGAAAUCAAGAGAGGAGCUCCCAUUGUAUAUAUCACUGAUUCGCCUACAUCAUUAUAUGCAAAAUAAACUGAAAUCCCAUCUUCGGAGAAAGAGAGAGAAUUACAAUUUAUGAACAUUUGUACUUACAGAGAGUUCAAUGAGGUCAGUUGAGAAAAGCUGGUUGGUAUUGGGCCUUCGAAAGAGUUCCCUUGAAAUUGCCUACAGAAACAUAUAAGACACUUGUGAACAAAUUAUCCACCUCGGGCCUGCUUUCAUAAACUGCAAAAGAUCAAAGGUUUCUCUACUUACAAAUCAGUGAGUUGUGUCCAAUUCCCUAUGAAAUCAGGUAUCUUUCCUGAGAAAGGACUGUCCGAUGCCCAGCUAAAAUUCAAAAAGUGGACUUAUACUAAAGCUCAUCCAAGAAAAGCAAUCUCAAAGUACUGGAUAAACGAACAAAUCUAAAAUACGAUUUAAGAGCCAUUCUUACAAGACUUGCAUGUUGGUGAGCUUGGCAAAUGUUGAAGGAAUUUCACCACCGAGUCCACAGCUGUCCAUGUAACUGUGAAAAUCAUAAGGCAAUUGAUGAGUACCCAUUUCAUACGAUAAAGCGCAACUUUUGCUCAUUCGUAAGGAAUUAACAUGUAAUUCAAAUUUGAUGAUUUAACGAAGCACUUACAGUCGCUCGAGCUUGACUAAAUUACCAAGUUCUGGAGGGAGUGUUCCGGAGAAAUUAUUUGAUGCGAUGCUCCUGCAAGUCAUGUUGAACAGGCAAACACUUACUUGAAAGCAAAUAUUGAAGAGUGAUAGAAGGUUCUGUAUCUAAUGUUUACGAUACAAAAUUUUAUUGUAUGCUCUCUAAUUUUUCAGGGCUUACAGCAUAGUUAGCUCCAAAAGGUUUCCAAGUUCCUUGGGGAUGGACCCUGAGAAUGAAUUUCUGCUAAUUGUCCUGAAUGGAGAUAUCAGUUAGUGAAAGAUAAGCACCAUUAAACUUAAUUACAUUACAUAACAGGAAACUAGUAUUGCAUUAUUCAAUAAAAGCAUAAUGAUUUUUUGUAGAUUACGGCAUAAAUAGUAGCGAAAAGGUGUAAAGAACAUAACUGUAGAUUAUGAUAUUCAAAAUCAAGUAUACAAAUUCCUAUGGGUCUCAUCAGAAGUAUGAGUACUUAAAGAAAUGUUCUCUCACUACUUACAAUUCAGUCAAUGCGGACAUAUUGCCAAUGAAUGCUGGUAGGGGACCGGUGAAAUAAUUAUGAUCGAUAUACCUACAAAAAUUGAAAGGAAUGUAAUCGUUAACUCUUAAUCUUACAACAUCACCAUAUUUUUGUUGAAAUCCCACAUCGGCUAGAGAAAUAAAGAAAGAAGAGUUUAAAUAUCCAAAUCCCACUCCAACUAAUGCUGAGGCAUUUUUGAGAUAAACCUCACACCUGACGGAUUGUGCAGGUGGUAAUUACCAAUUUGGAGACAAUAUCGGUGUUGUUGGAAGUGAGUCUUUGACUCCUCUCUCUGAUAAUUCUACAAUUUUUAAUAUCCAAUGGAUAAUAUGAACGAAAAACAGAGAAAGGAGUUGGAAAAAAAUUCAUACAAAUUUGCGAGAUAUCUUAGAUCCAAAAAUUCUUCUGGAAACACCCCUCGUUUGUUAAGACCAUACACACUCCUGGAAAGCAAAAAGAUUGAACAUUUAGAACUACAUAAAAUGGAGCGACACAGUCAAAUUAUGACAUCAAUAUAUAGGUAACAAGUGAAAAAUCAGCAGUGGCACGGAAAUCUUGUUCAUAAAGAGAGUAGUUUAACAUACAGUUUGGUGAUGUGGCAUGUAGCAUUGUUGUCGUAAGUACAGUUGCAAACGACGGCUGCGCUGUUAUCGGGGAAGUUAAAUUCGGUGCCGUUGAUGGCAGAUCCACUGCAGGGUUCUCCACUGAUAUUCCACAGCCCCGGCGCUGCUUGUGUGUCCCAUUGUUCAAAUAUUGAGUUCAACGCCCUCACUGCACUCUCAGUUAAUUCAGUCAUUGUGUGUAUUAGGUUAUAUCACACCAUACUUUGACUUGCGUUACCACUUACCAGACUAUCUUGAAUCAAAUGAGAGAUCAAAUUAAUUAUUACACAGGAAAAUUACCCUUAAUUUGGAUGUUUUGUAUAUGGGAAGAAAAAGGGCUUUACAAAUAAGUUCUUCGAAACUUCAUUUCAUAUAGUCGAAAAACACUUAAAAAUGUCAUUUUGUUGAGGGAAAAAAGCCCAGUUCCUGAUCAAAAACACUUAAAUGUGGCAAAGUGUGUGUGUAGGGGGUGGGUGGGGAGAGAGAGAGAACCUUCAGAUGGAUCAGUGGUAGCAUUUUGAGCAAUGGACAGCUGAAACCAGAAGCAGCCGAGGAAGCAGAGUAAUAGUAUCCUCAUCAUCAACUUCAUCUUCAUAUCGUAUGUGCAGAACUUGCUCUCCUCAUGAACUUAAACGGCCAACACUUAUAUUCCGACUGGCUGAAUCAUGCAUUGCAUGUAAGAAGAAGAAGACCAUUAGAUUUUAGUCAUAUAUUGACAACGUAUACAUAUACAAUAUAAGGUAAAUUACAAAAAACUAUCUCAAUUAUAAGUCGAAUCACAAUCUCAGACCUCAUGUUUUAAAUAUUGCAAUAUCAUUCCUCAUCGUAUGAAUUUGUUGAAAUGUCAGGUCUUUAUUAAAUUUUCUGUCAAUCUGAUUGUUAAAUGAUGACAUGAUAGAAACGAGACCCACUUUUUUGCCAACUUGAAUAAAAAAUUAAUUAAUUAUUAAAAAAUUAAUAAUUUUUUAUUUGACAAUUAAAAUUAACUUUAAAAAUAAAUAAAUAAAAAAACCUCUCCUCCUUGUUUCGUGGAAAUAGUCCCGUUCCUCCUCCCAUCACUCCUUCCUCCGCUCCCCCUCUUCCUAGUCCUCCUUAAACACAGCUAAUUUUCGUCCUCCUCCGGGAACAACUGAUACACCGCCGAUCGCAAAACGCAGGUGGGUUUCGAUGGCAAACCAAAACCAGACCCCAAAUAAGUGGGUUUUGAUGGCAAACCAAAACCAGACCCAAAUCAUCUUGCUCCAACAGUCUUUACAUAAAACUAAUUGAUUUCUUCAUCAUAAGUUCACUAAGAUUUCGCAAAACUGAGCAUUAGAAACCAUCCCCUUAUCAUCUUCCCUCUCUUCAAAUCCCAUCACCGACUGGGGCUUUCGCCCCACUGCCAUUUCUUCAAUUUCUUCUUCUUCACCAUUUUUCUAAGAAAACCACCAAACAAAAUUGCAAAGGUAGAGAGUUCCAGAAAGCCAAAACGAAGAACCCCACAAAAACAAAACCCAAAACGAAAAACACAAAUACAAACCCAGAAAAUUCAAGAAAUUAGAGAAUUCAUUUUUUUUUAAUUAGAGAAACUAAAAUUUCAAAAAUUCAAGAAGUGGCCAUUUGAAAAUUCGCCAAGAACUCCGGAUUUUCGAAAUCCUCCAUAAUAUUAAUUGAAGAAUGGAAGUUCAUUACAGUCCAAUUUUUUUCUUUUUAUUUCCCAUUUUCUGGGUUACCACCACUGCUACAGAUUCGCUUCCCCGAUGCGUAUCAACCUCUACACCUUCUCAUUUCCGUCUCCGUCCGUUCGGUUCUCCAUCAACCACCAUUCGAUUUCUCCCAACCAUCAUUCGAAUCGAUCCACUGCCGUUUCAAAGAAAACCGGACCGAUUUUGAUGCCGAGGAAGGUAUGUGCUCGCCGACGUCGUAGCCAGAUCAUUUCGUUGCAACCUCCACAAGAACCACGGAGGGAGUCAAAACACCGGAUCUUUCCCGUCGAACAGAUUGAAUAUGUGCCGAUCUGAUAUGACGAACUCGCUGGUCCGAAUCGGUGGACUCGAAGGCGGUGGAUGGACAAGGAAGAAGGGGGACGAAGGAGGACGAGGAAGAAGGGGGACGGACGAGGGAGGUGGGGGAGGGGAGGAGACGAUUUCUGGGGAAAUGAAGAGAGUUUAUUUUUAUUUUUUUUUAAAUUAAGUUUAAUUGUUAAAUAAGAACUAGUAAUUUAUUAUUAAUUAAUUAAUUUGUUAUUCAAUGUGGUAAAUGAGUGGGUCUCACUCCUACUACUUCAUCAUUUAACAGUUAAAUUGACAGAAAAUUUAGACAUUGCAACGAUCAUAGGUUGAGGUAUGACAUUGCAAUGUUUAAAACAUGAAGUAUGAAAUUAUGGUUUCGAUAGAUAAGAUAGUUUUAUGUAAUUUAUACUGUAAUAUAUUUUGUCCAAGUUGCAUGAUCAAAUGGCGGCUACUUUUUAAUUUCCAACCUGGAGUUGGCCAAGACUUUGAUCAUAUUAGUUGAAUUUUAUACUGUAAUAUUACACACUUAGCAUUGAAAUAUUUAUGGAUUGACUUAUGGAUUAAUAUUCUUGCUCAGUUGGUCAAUUACUGUAAUUAUGGAGAGGGAUUUUUCUCGAUAGCGAAAGAACGAAGGAUUAAUUCUUUGUUAGUUGGUGAUUUUGAUAUGACAUCAAACCACGAUGUCAUUGUGACAAUUCUUAAACUAAUCACAUUAUUAUGUCUAACAAAACACAUGACACACUAUUUGAUUAGUUUUUUUUUUCCUUUCUAAAAGGAUGGACACUAGUGUCGAACUACAGUUAUCCACCUUUUUCGGAUUCAGAAGAGGCUAGUUGAAAAUUAUACCCUACCUACUGAUGACCUUGUUCAAGCAAGUACGCAGAUUACAACGUAUUGAACUCAAGACUUUGACAAUUAGCUUAAAAUAUUGCUAAGAUUACAUGUUGUAAGUUUGUCCGGUAAAAGAAUAAUAUUUCAGUCAUAAUUUUACAUAUAAAUUCAACGAUAAAAUGAAUUUUAGAUAAGUGGAAGUGGAUUUUUUCAAAGAAAAACACAGGUUGGAUUUUCUAAAAAAAAGAAAGAAAAAUCUCUGGUGGAAUUUUCAAAAGUUGGGAUGAAAAUAUCUGCAAGUAGUUGAAUGAUGCAGCGAGAAAAGUCAAAAGAUGAUAUGUUUUGGGAAAGGGAUUUUCCCACAAAAUACACGAUCCCCACAAAGUGGAUUCGGAUGAGAUCCAAUUCCUAUGUUUUGGAUGACAGAAAGUCAUACUGCCACGUAUGAACGCACCACCACCCCACCCACCUUGGCUUAAUUAUUCCGAUGACUUGCUUUUGUUGACGAAAUUUCUUACGUCUUAAUUGGGAGUGAGAUAAUUUUGUAGUAUGCAAACAAUUUGCUUUCUCUCGGUCCAUAUAUUUGCUACUAACGUCUUAAUUGGGGACGACUAAAGUACUUUUGUAUGUAUAUAAACUUGCUUUCUCUUGGUCCAUAAAUUUGCCAGUAACAUCUUAAUUGGGACCGAGAUACUUUUGCUUGAAGGUAAACGACUUGAUUUCUCUCAGUUAAUAUAUUCAAUGGCAACGUCUUAAUUGGGAUUGACAUACUUUUCUAUGGAUGUAGACAACUUGCUUUCUCUCAGCCUAUAUAUUUGCUAGUAAAGUCUUAAUUAGGACGAUUGGGGUAAUUUUGACUUGCUUUCUCUCAGUCUAUAUAUUUGCUAGUAAAGUCUUAAUCGAGACAACUGAGAUAAUUCUGUACGUAUGUAAACAACUUGCUUUCUCUCUAUCUAUAUAUUUGCUAGCAUAACGUCUUAAUUGGGACUUUAAUAUUUUCUAGCGUCUAGAAAAAUUCGUAGAUUGCUAGCAUCUAAAAAAAUUCAUAGUUGCAUACCGGUCAACGAAGUAAGAUCCAACUUUUGAGUCUUGACUAAUAGUCUCAAUUAGAAAAUACGCAUGUGCGUUGCGGCAGGAACAACUGUUUCAUGAGUAACUGCAUGAAUAAGACACAUUUAACAUGAAUAAAUUUAACACAAGCAUGAAUGAACAGAAGAACACAUGAGUGAACGAGGUCGAUAAGAUAAGCAGAACUUAUGUAAUCAUGUUAACUACAAACUGAGAAAUGACUUUCUUUCCUGCAUAAAAUUUUACUAAAGAAACAGAACUUACGUAAUCACGUUAACUACAAACUGCACUACAAAAAAUUUGAAGUAUUUCCAAAUAUGUUGAAAUCUGAAAGGAAAAAGAUGAUAAUUCUUCUGACCGCAAAAGAUUAUACAAUAAACAUAAGAUGGUGUGAUCUCAUAAAACUUAGUAUUUAGGAGAAAGGAAGAUAUAAACAUACGCAAUCCGCUUCAGACUUGCCAAAUAGAUCUCAUAAAACUCAGUAUUUAGGAGAAAGGAAGAUAAUCUUGCCAAAUAGAUCUCAUAAUAGAUCUCAUAAAAUUCAGUAUUUAGGAGAAAGGAAGAUAAUCUUGCCAAAUAGAUCUCAUAAAACUCAGUAUUUCUAAUUCGUUUUCAGACUUGCCAAAUGUAAUCUCAUAAAACUCAGCAUUUAGGAGAAAGGAAGAUAAUCUUGAAACAUAAACUUAACCAUCAAAUUCAGUUCUUAAAACCAAAAGAAAAGAUUAUGGUUUCUUAGGGCUUGUUUGGUAAUGUACUUGAAUCAAACUUUUUAAACUCAAAAAUAAUUUUCAAGUUUUAGGCCUUAAAAACUUGUUUGGUAGGACUAUUUUCAAAAACUGAACUCAAGACUAACUAAAAAAUAUAGUUUAUUAUUUAAAAACAUAAAAAGUGAGUUUUUAGAGUUUUUAAACUUAAACUCACUUCUUUCUUUUCUCUUCCUCCUCCACUCUCACUUCAAAUCUCUCUCUUUUCUUCUUUCUCUAUCCUUUUUUUUUUUAUCUUUUUCAUCUCUCAUCCAAUUCGCUCUCUUUAUUCUUUAGGUUCUUUUUCUCACUCAUCUUCCUCUUUAUCUCCUCCGAUUCUCUCUCCUUUCUUUUUCCUUAAAUCAUCUCUUACUUUCUUUCCUCCUCUCUCUCCUCUUUCUACCUCUCUUGCAACCCCCUCUUUUUAGAUCGCUUUGUUAUAGUUUAAGUCGUAAGAUUUAAAAUUUUUAAAUUAGAAACCAAUCAAGUUUUUGAGUCAUCAAAAAAACUAUUUUCAAUAAAUGUUCUUAAAAAAUGUUUUGAGAAAUGAUAAAAAUUUUCAAAUAGGAUACCAAACAAGCCCUUUGUUUCUUACCCAAAUCCACCAAUUUGAAUCAAAUUUCUGCAGCUCAGCUUGAAAUCUGUUUGAAAUGACCUCCAUGAACACGAAUCUUGUACAUGCAAAACACUUUAGAUGAAGUUGUGAGAAUGGGUGGUGAUGAAAUUGAAGAAACCACCAAAUUCCAAACAAAUUUUAGACGAUUUUAACACUCAUAAAAGUGUUUCAGAAUCCACAAGUUUAAACGAAAAACUGUAUAAAAUCAUGAAAAAUUUAAUAAAACCCAAUUAUAUGAAUCACUCUUCCCGAAAACAAGACAUUUAAUGCAGAAAGCUCAAACUAUAACAAUUGAUGAACCAAAUAUUUUCAAUUGAAUUUAUCUCUUCAAUUGGUAGGUAUUUUUGUUUAUCCUCGUAUCUUUCAAUUGCCACCCAAAACUAACAUCUGAGAGAGCCUUGCAAUUCUUAUCUUUAAAAGCAUGAAUGGUGAACUAAAUAAAAGAAUAAGAAUAUGCAAUGAACUAAAUAAAAACAGACUUUUUACAAACAUUAUUCGCACAAAAAUUAAAACUGUAUUGAGAAACUCACCAUCCCAUUUCACACAAAUGAUUUAUGAUGAUAAAACCAAUUGGUGGGUGCACUGAAAUAUAUUGACAGGCCCAUUAAAGGCACGAACAUCAUACAGUGAAUUGCACAUAAAGGACAACAUUAUCAAGUAUAUCUUGAGGUGGAAUUGGAUACGAUCAUUAUCAAGUCUUCAUCUCUGACACUAAGAGCACUCUGCAUCCUAGAAUUCCUCAUCUACCAUCAUAUAGCAGCUACUGCCGCUGAAGCAAUACCCAUGUCUGCUCAUACGCAUCGAAAAACAUAUCAUGCAUUCGUUAUACAUUUCUCUAUUAAUUAAUUAGCUAACUGAAUUUAAAAUUAGCUUCCAAACCAAAAAAGUUCUAAACUUUUAAUUUUGCAAUCACAUUCAGUUCUUCAUCUCUUACUCUAAAUCCCAAUUACAGAAAUAUCUAAACUUUACUUCAAUUUAAUAUUGUUUUCCCCAAAAACAGCACAAUCCCACAAAAAUAAAGUAAAAAAAAAAAACAACAACAAUAUACCAUGAAUUAAAUUAAAAUUCUCACCUCCACCUCCGGCAGAGCUUUCGCAUUCUCAACCUGUUGCAUUAAAAAAUAAAAAAUAAAAAAUAAAAAAUCAAAUCAAAUCAAAUUCAAGUAAAAAUAAAAAAGAGAACUUGAAUAUAGCAACCCUACUCCCCCUCUUUCUCCCUCUCUAGCUCUCCCUCUGCAAUUCACACGUGCACCCCCUCCCUCUGUAACCCUCCCCGUGAAACCCCUAAACCCCAUGCGUAGGCCCCAUAUCUUCUGGCUGUGACCUCAUGAAUAGUCCCCAUCACCUCGAUUCCAUCGAACCAUGGCCUCGGUCAAAUCGAAACCAACCAGAGCCCACUCCCCAUACCCCUACCACCCUCCCCAGUAUCACACCCCUGUGAUCUUCACCUUCAAUCUGUCCCAGGGAUUGGAUCUCCGAAAUAUUCUAUUCAUGAAGUACUUGAUAAAGAAACCCACUUUAGUUGGAUCAGUGAUCCCAGCGACUAUUAAAUUUUCAUAGUUUCCAGUGGCAACAUGCAUCCAUAGUUGGGGUUGUCACUUGAAAGCACCUGAGAAAUGAGACUUUAAUUUAUACGAUGAAACAUAUUAAACAGAUAGUGAGCACAGUAUAUAAAGUGAAACGAAAAAAAAAAGCCUUCUCACUGACAAUGCCUUUUCAGGUCAGAUAAAUGACUCAGAACUUGGAAGUAAAAUAUGGAAAUCACAACCCAAAACAUAGAUUAACAAAUGCUAUCAUUUCAGAUUUUCACAUACAAUAUAGCAGAUAAGGAAGAGUAAAGAAAAUUUGAGAGAAAUUCAAACAGAAUAAGGAUAACCACCUAUGCAUAGACUUACCAUUAUCACCAAUAAUAUUCCACAAAAGAUAUAUAUAUAUAUAUUUGGUGACAAUCAUACAUUUGAUUCCCACAAUAUUUCAUGUUUUGCAUCAAAAUUAGAAAUUAAAAAAAAAAAAACACAGAAGAAAAGGGCACCUCUUACUUUCCCUGCAGCUGCUUUUCAAAAGGCAAAAUGCUUUAGAUCCUAAAUACCAAGCAAAUAUAGAAGCGAUUCAACAAUUAUCAAAGAAAAUCAACCAUGCAAGGAACAAAACUUAAAAACUAAACAAUUAUCAAAACUUGUGAAGAACGCUAAAUCCAACUAAUUCGAAACAUAAAAGUAACCUGAAAGAGAUAAAACUUAUAAAUUCUAGGGGCUUUUAGAUCCAGGUCCAAAAACAUAGAGAGUUUUUAGGAGUGAGUCCAGUUAAUAAAUUAUAUGUUUUUAUUUCUUUUAUACUCAUUUUAUAUUUUCUAAAAAUAUUAAAAAUCAAUUAAAAUCUUUUAAUAUUAUGCAUUUUUCAACUUCAAAAUAUCUAAUUAAUAUCUUAUAACAAAAAAAAUUGAUAUACUAACAUAAAUCUAUCUACAAAACAUUCUACCCUAACUCAAGUAGCAAAUAUAUGAUUGUAUAUUAUACCUAUAAGUGAGAUAUGAAACCUAACUAAAAGGUAGAAAAAAACAUAAUAUACCUACAAGCAAGACACAUUAAUCUGUGACAGGUUGACUAUGAAAAAGAAUCUGUCAUAUAGGUAGAUAAAUACAAUUAACCUGUGAUAUAGGUUGACUAUAAAAAUUAAAAUAAAAUCUAUAAAUGGGUUAAAGCACGAGAAAGAACAUGAAAUAACAAAUAAAUAAAUAAAAAGAAAUAAUCAAAGAGAUAAUUAGGAAGAAAUUUGAUUUUUACAAUAAAUUUUUUCAUUUAAGAGAUAAUUAUUGAUAAUAAAAUAAUUAAAUUUAAAGAAUUGGACCUAUUCUAAUAAACUGAACUAUUCCUACUAUUGGCUCAAAAAAUUGGAGUUAUAUCAAGUUUCCCCUAAAUUCUAUAUCAAUUAUAAUCCUUUAGAGAAAAUCUCCAAUAUCCAUUAUCCAAUUAACCUAAUUGUAUUAAAAACCUAGCAAAUCUCCAUUCAAUUAAGCAAAUUUUGCAGUAAAUUAUCCAUUUUUCACAAUAAAGCAAUAAAAAGAUCAUGAGCAAGUAAAUCUGGACCACUACGAUCAAAAUUCCAGCAAUCAAUAACCAUGAUUAUAAAUUUUGACAAACUUACAGUUGCUACAGCAUUUGACAAUCAACAACAACAAUAACAAAGCCUUUUCCCACUAAGUGGGGUCAGCUAUAUGAAUCCUAGAACGCCAUUGCGCUCGGUUUUGUGUCAUGUCCUCUGUUAGAUCCAAGUACUCUAAGUCUUUUCUUAGAGUCUCUUCCAAAGUUUUCCUAGGUCUUCCUCUACCCAUUCGGCCCUGAAUCUCUGUCAUGUAGUCACAUCUUCGAACCGGAGCGUCAGUCGGCCUUCUUUGCACAUGUCCAAAUCACCGGAGCCGAUUUUCUCUCAUCUUUCCUACAAUUUCGGCUACUCCUACUUUACCUCGGAUAUCCUCAUUCCCAAUCUUAUCCUUUCUCGUGUGCCCACACAUCCCACGAAGCAUCCUCAUCUCCGCUACACCCAUUUUGUGUACGUGUUGAUACUUCACCGCCCAACAUUCUGUGCCAUACAACAUCGCUGGCCUUAUUGCCGUCCUAUAAAAUUUUCCCUUGAGCUUCAGUGGCCUACGACGGUCACACAACACGCCGGAUGCACUCUUACACUUCAUCCAUCCAGCUCGUAUUCUAUGGUUGAGAUCUCCAUCUAAUUCUCCGUUCUCUUGCAAGAUAGAUCCUAGGUAGCGAAAACGGUCGCUUUUUGUGAUCUUCGCUAGAUUGCUCCGGUCAUUAGUGUGGAUAAGUAUAUAAAUGGAUAGAGAUAGGAAAGCAAACACAAGAUGUACAUGGUUCACCCAGAUUGGUUACGUCCACGGAAUAGAAGAGUUCUCAUUAAUUGUGAAGGGUUUACACAAAUACAUAGGUUCAAGCUCUCAUUUAGUGAGUACAAGUGAAUGAUUUAGUACAAAUGACAUUAGGAAAUAUUGUGGGAGAAUGAUCUCGUAAUCACGAAACUUCUAAGUAUCAGAGUGUGGUGUCGUCUUGACUUGCCUUAUCUGUCUCAUAGGUAGAUGUGGCAUCUUCUCUGGAAGUACUCUUCCUCCAUCCAGGGGUGGUAUCUUUAACUGAUGGAGAUGCACAAGGUAAUGUAUCAAUUUCACUUGAAGCUUACUUGUAGUUUCAGGCUUGGUCAAGCGCGAUACAAACCAUGUAGUAGGAGUUCCCCAAGUCGCCGAGCUAGGGGGUCUGCUGAAAGAGGUGACAUACAAGGUAAGCAAUCAGAGCUCCGACUGAUUGUUCACCUUCUCCCCAUCUUGCAGCAGCAUGAAGGAUAAAGAGAAGAAAAAUUAGAAGAGAUGAUAUGAGAUACUUUUGCUUUUGAAGAAGUAACUUUCCACAGGCUUAUUCUUGAACUGAGCUGGAGGGUUUUCUGGUUUCCUCCAGAGUAUAAGGCCGACUGAAGAAUUUGAGGGUCAAAACAAGUCCAUCAAAUCUAGAGUACGUUCCACCCUACUGAUAUGGAAUACUUUUGCUUUUGACAGAGUAAUGGAUGUAUCGGCAUGUGUGCUGUUACGCUUGUCUCCACAUGCUUCCUUGUAUCCUUCGCACUUGCCCUAUCUGUUCCUCAAGCAGAUGCGGAAUCUUCCCUGGAAACAUAAGAUGUUGAAGAUGAGUACUCGAGAGCAAUGCCAGGUAAGUAAUCAGGUAAGGGGUUCCAGGCAGUCAGUUCCUGGCUGGAAGCUUGAUUCCAAGUGCUGACUGAUUGCUCUCUUUCUCCUUGUCUUGCAGGUAAAAACAAGGCCAAAGGAAAAGACAGGGAAAAAGCAUGAUAUGAGAUACUCUUGCUUUUAACCCUGAUGAUAUGAGAUAUUCUUGCUCUAGUAUAGCUUGUUUGCAGAGGUAUUAUCGGGGGGAAAGAAAGCUGAAUAUUUCGAAAGGCUUCGUUGGGAGUGCCCUCUCAGAUAUGAUGAAGGGUUGAGCAUUUUUGCAGGUCUGCCUGUCCGUUGGGGAUGGAGGUCGACAUAUAUAGGAGUCUCCCUAACAACAAGUAGUAAUGCUAUUCCUUUACCCUGCUUGGUCAUAGCACGGUAGUGGGAGCUGCCAGUUUCACAUGUUUUAACUCUGUCAGAGCACUUUGAAAAAGUGGUCUGUGGUAUCUGGCUCUCGAGAUUCGGAGAACGAUGCCUCUUCGAUUUUUGAGAAAGCAAUCAUGCUGGGGGUCUGGCUCUCGAGAGCAGUGUCUCUUCGAUUUUUGAGGAAGUAAUCAUGUUGGGAGUCUGGCUCUCGAGAUUCGGAGGGCGGUGCCUCUUCGAUUUUGGAGCAAGCAAUCUUGUUGGGAGUGUUGUCUCGAAUGUGAGUAAAGGUUGGGCAUGUUUGCUAGUCUACCUUGCCACGAAGCACAAAGGUUGACACACAGGGACUUUCCAAUUAUCCAGCAAUGGUACUGUUCCUUUACCCUCUCUUCGAUUUUGAGAAAGUAGUUAUGUUGGGAGUCUGGCUCUCGAGAUUCGGAGGACGGUGCCUCUUCGAUUUUGGAGCAAGCAAUCUUGUUGGGAGUGUUUUCUCGAAUGUGAGUAAAGGUUGGGCAUGUUUGCUAGUCUACCUUGCCACGAAGCACAGAGGUUGACACACAGGGACUUUCCAAUUAUCCAGCAGUGGUAUUGUUCCUUUACCUUUGUGGGUAAUAAUAUGGUAGCUAGACCUUCAAAAUUUAUGUGUCUAAACUUUGUUAGUGCUGUUUCUUUGCUAUUCUUUUACCUUUCUUGGUCAGAGCGAUGUAGUGGGAGCUGCAAGCUUCACGUGCUCAACUUUGGCAGAGAACUUUGGCAAAGUUAUCUGUGGUACCCAUGAGCUAUUGUUGCGUGUGGGAAGUGGGUGAUUGAACAGUAAGAUUCAUGUGCUUUCUACUUCACAAGAAGUCUUCGACAGAAUGCCCAUAAUUUCUGCAAAGCUGAGUGUGCGUGUGACAGGUGCUGAUAAGGCUAGAAAAGUAGGUGCCUCUUCGAUUUCUGAGAUCGGCCUUUGUGGUCUCUGAGCAGCCCAGCUUUUGAGAAAGCGAGCGCCUCUUCGAUUGAUUCGGAGAACGAUGCCUCAUCGAUUUUUGAGAAAGCAAUCAUGCUGGGGGUCUGGCUCUCGAGAUUCGGGGAGCAGUCUCUUCGAUUUUUGAGAAAGUAAUCAUGUUGGGAGUCUGGCUCUCGAGAUUCGGAGGGCGGUGCCUCUUCGAUUUUGGAGCAAGCAAUCUUGUUGGGAGUGUUUUCUCGAAUGUGAGUAAAGGUUGGGCAUGUUUGCUAGUCUACCUUGCCACGAAGCACAGAGGUUGACACACAGGGACUUUCCAAUUAUCCAGCAAUGGUACUGUUCCUUUACCCUCUCUUCGAUUUUUAAGAAAGUAGUCAUGUUGGGAGUCUGGCUCUCGAGAUUCGGAGGACGGUGCCUCUUCGAUUUUGGAGCAAACAAUCUUAUUGGGAGUGUUUUCUCGAAUGUGAGUAAAGGUUGGGCAUGUUUGCUAGUCUACCUUGCCACGAAGCACAGAGGUUGACACACAGGAACUUUCCAAUUAUCCAGCAGUGGUACUGUUCCUUUACCCUUGUGGGUAAUAAUAUGGUAGCUAGACCUUCAAAAUUUAUAGGUCUAAACUUUGUUAGUGCUGUUUCUUUGCUAUUCUUUUACCCUUCUUGGUCAGAGCGAUGUAGUGGGAGCUGCAAGCUUCACGUGCUCAACUUUGGCAGAGAACUUUGGCAAAGUUAUCUGUGUGUUUUCUACUUCCCCAGAAGUCUUCGACAGAAUGCCCAUAAUUUCCGCAAAGCUGAGUGUGCGUGUGACAGGUGCUGACAAGGCUGGAAAAGUAGGUGCCUCUUCGAUUUCUGAGAUCGGCCCUCGUGGUCUCUGGGGAGCCCAGCUUUUGAGAAAGCGAGCGCCUCUUCGAUUUCUGAGAUCAGCCUUCGUGGUCUUUGAGCAGCCCAACUUUUGAGAAAGCAAACGCCUCUUCGAUUUCUGAGAUCAACCCUCGUGAUCUCUAAGCAGCCCAGUUUUUGAGAAAGCAAACGCCUCUUCGAUUUCUGAGCAGGCGCCUCUUCGAUUUCUGAAGCUCCGUCGAGUGCAGAUUUUUAUAGGGGCUGGCAUUAAGUUCCAAAGCACACACUUGAAUCUCCACCAGUAGAAGCUUCAUUCUUGCACUUCUAAGAUCUUGAUUUGUCCGACCUUUUCUCUCUUCAACACCUUUGAAAAUGUCUGGCCCCUCCGACCGUCGUUUUGACUUGAACCUUGUUGAAGAGGCAGCCCCGCCUUCUCCAGACAACAUAUGGCGCCCAUCCAUUCGUCUCCCCUACUGGUCCUCUUACCGUUGGGGAUUCCGUGAUGAAGAAUGAUAUGACCGCUGCGGUGGUGGCCAGGAACCUUCUCACUCCCAAAGAUAACAGACUACUUUCCAAACGGUCUGAUGAGUUAGCUGUUAAGGAUUCGCUGGCUCUCAGUGUUCAGUGUGCAGGUUCUGUGUCUAAUAUGGCCCAACGCCUAUUUGCUCGAACCCGCCAAGUUGAAUCAUUGGCGGCUGAAGUGAUGAGUCUUAAACAGGAGAUUAGAGGGCUCAAGCAUGAGAAUAAACAGUUGCACCGGCUCGCACAUGACUAUGCUACAAACAUGAAGAGGAAGCUUGACCAGAUGAAGGAAACUGAUGGUCAGGUUUUACUUGAUCAUCAGAGAUUUGUGGGUUUGUUCCAAAGGCAUUUAUUGCCUUCGUCUUCUGGGGCUGUACCGCGUAAUGAAGCUCCAAAUGAUCAACCUCUGAUGCCUCCUCCUUCUAGGGUUCUGUCCAGUACUGAGGCUCCAAAUGAUCCCCCUCCGGUGCCUUCUCUUUCUGGGGCUCUACCGACUGCUGAGACUUCUCCUAAGCAACCUUUGUGAAGGCUCCCUCUUGUGUGUUUAUUUUGACUCAUGUAUAUGUACAUAUUUGUAGCUUAUCGGGGAUAUCAAUAAAUAAGCUUUCCUUCAUUUCAACGUAUAUUGUGUUAAAUACACCAAAGCCUUCUUCGCUAAGUUCUUUGAAUUUUCUUUUGUUGAAGCUUGUAUGUUGAAGCUUUCUGAGUGGAGCAUGUAGGUUGGGGUAGUGUUCCCUUAAUUUCCCGAGUGAGGAAAACUUCUCGGUUGGAGACUUGGAAAAUCCAAGUCACUGAGUGGGAUCGGCUAUAUGAAUCUUAGAACGCCAUUGUGCUCGAUCUUGUGUCAUGUCCUUCGUUAGAUCCAAGUACUCUAAGUCUUUUCUUAGAGUCUCUUCCAAAGUUUUCCUAGGUCUUCCUCUACCCCUUCGGCCCUGAACCUCUGUCCCAUAGUCGCAUCUUCUAAUCGGAGCGUCAGUAGGCCUUCUUUGCACAUGUCCAAACCACCGUAACCGAUUUUCUCUCUCAUCUUUCCUUCAAUUUCGGCUACUCCUACUUUACCCCGGAUAUCCUCAUUCCUAAUCUUGAUCCUUUCUCGUGUGCCCCACACAUCCAACGAAGCAUCCUCAUCUCCGCUACACCCAUUUUGUGUACGUGUUGAUGUUUCACCGCCCAACAUUCUGUGCCAUACAGCAUCGCCGGCCUUAUUGCCGUCCUAUAAAAUUUUCCCUUGAGCUUCAGUGGCAUACGGCGGUCACACACAACACGCCGGAAUGCACUCUUGCACUUCAUCCAUCCUAGCUUGUAUUCUAUGGUUGAGAUCUCCAUCUAAUUCUCCGUUCUUUUGCAAGAUAGAUAGAUCAUAGGUAACGAAAACGGUCGCUCUUUGGUAUUAUUUCUUGAUCUCCGAUCCUCACCCCUAACUCGUUUUGACCUCUAUUUGCACUGAACUUGCACUCCAUAUAUUCUGUCUUUGAUCGGCUUAUGCGAAGACCUUUAGAUUCCAACACUUCUCUCCAAAGGUUAAGCUUUGCAUUUACCCCUUCCUGAGUUUCAUCUAUCUAUCAACACUAUAUCGUCUGCGAAAAGCAUACACCAAGGAAUAUCAUCUUGAAUAUGUCCUGUUAACUCAUCCAUUACCAACGCAAAAAGGUAAGGACUUAAGGAUGAGCCUUGAUGUAAUCCUACAGUUAUGGGAAAGCUUUCGGUUUGUCCUUCAUGAGUUCUUACGGCAGUCUUUGCUCCUUCAUACAUAUCCUUUAUAGCUUGGAUAUAUGCUACUCGUACUCCUUUCUUCUCUAAAAUCCUCCAAAGAAUGUCUCUUGGGACCCUAUCAUACGCUUUUUCCAAAUCUAUAAAGACCAUGUGUAAAUCAUUUUUCCAAUUUCUAUAUCUUUCCAUCAAUCUUCGUAAGAGAUAGAUUGCCUCCAUGGUUGAGCCCUGGCAUGAACCCGAAUUGGUUGUCCGAAACCCGUGUCUCUUGCCUCAAUCUAUGCUCAAUGACUCUCUCCCAGAGCUUCAUUGUAUGACUCAUUAGCUUAAUACCCCUAUAGUUCAUGCAAUUUUGUACGUCGUCCUUAUUCUUGUAGAUAGGCACCAAAGUGCUCGUUCGCCACUCAUUUGGCAUCUUCUUCGUUUUCAAAAUCCUAUUGAAAAGGUCAGUGAGCCAUGUUAUACCUGUCUCUCCCAAAAGUUUCCACACUUCGAUUGGUAUAUCGUCUGGGCCUAUUGCUUUUUUAUGCUUCAUCUUCUUCAAAGCUACAACCACUUCUUCCUUCCGGAUUCGACGAUAAAAAGAGUAGUUUCAACACUCUUCUGAGUUACUCAACUCCCCUAAAGAAGCACUCAUUUCAUGUCCUUCAUUGAAAAGAUUAUGAAAAUAACCUCUCCAUCUGUCUUUAACCGCGUUCUCUGUAGCAAGAACCUUUCUAUCCUCAUCCUUGAUGCACCUCACUUGGUUUAGGUCCCUUGUCUUCUUUUCCCUUGCUCUAGAUAGUUUAUAGAUAUCCAACUCUCAUUCUUUGGUAUCUAGUCGUUUAUACAUAUCGUCGUAAGCCGCUAACUUAGCUUCUCUGACAGCUUUCUUCGCCUCUUGCUUCGCUUUUCUAUACCUUUCACCAUUUUCAUCGGUCCUCUCCUUGUAUAAGGCUUUACAACAUUCCUUCUUAGCCUUCACCUUUGUUUGUACCUCCUCAUUCCACCACCAAGAUUCCUUUUGGUGUGGGGCAAAGCCCUUGGACUCUCCUAAUACCUCUUUUGCUACUUUUCGGAUACAACUAGCCAUGGAAUCCCACAUUUGGCUAGCUUCCCCCUCUCUAUCCCACACACAUUGGGUGAUUACCUUCUCUUUGAAAAUGGCUUGUUUUUCUUCUUUUAGAUUCCACCAUCUAGUCCUUGGGCACUUCCAAGUCUUGUUCUUUUGUCUUACUCUUUUGAUAUGUACAUCCAUCACCAACAAGCGAUGUUGAUUAGCCACGCUCUCUCCUGGUAUAACUUUGCAAUCCUUACAAGUUAUACGAUCCACUUUCCUCAUUAGAAGAAAAUCUAUUUGUGUUUUUGACGACCCACUCUUGUAGGUGAUCACAUGUUCUUCUCUCUUCUUAAAGAAGGUGUUGGCUAAGAAGAUAUCAUAUGCCAUUGCAAAAUCCAAGAUAGCUUCCCCAUCCUCGUUUCUCUCCCCAAAACCAUGGCCACCAUGAAAACCUCCAUAGUUGCCUGUCUCCCUGCCCACGUGUCCAUUUAAAUCUCCUCCUAUAAAUAACUUCACCGUCUGAGCAAUUCCUUGCACCAAGUCUCCAAGAUCUUUCCUGGAGCCGCAGAUGUUCUAUCAAAAAAAUGAGUAAUCGAAUUAGUUGAUUAAAUUUACAGAAGAAGAGAGAGAAGAGGGGAAUGGAGGAGAACAGCAGAAGGAGAUGAAAUCAGAUUCAGAGUUUGAGAGUCAAUUGCUGAAUUUAGAUGAACUGACCUUUUCGAUCACAUACAGUCAAACUGGAAUGCACAGGGAGAAGCAGAAGAAGAAAAAGAAGAUGGAGAGGGGGUGGUCAAUAGCUUAUCGAGGUCGGAGUUGACAAAAAUCAACAAAGCCAUGCGCGAUUUCGUCGUUGUGAGCUGUGAGAGAGAAUACGAUGGUCACAUGACUCAAUGUGACAUCCAGAAAACUUAGUACUACAACACUAAACUUAAAAGGAAAAGUACAGAAGAAUCGAAACCAUUAUAAUUCCUUACAUGAUACUGAAUGUCUGUUAGUUAGAAGAGCCCAAGAAGCAAUUGUUCCAUCUGCUAGCAAUCGGCAUAUCCCAGAUCCAUCUGCCAAAGAUAUACACCAAAUUAGAUGGAAACACAAAAGAGUAAAUUGGUGGGGCUAGCCAGCCUUCAUUCUAGAGGCGGUUUAGCGGCUCACUACUAAUUAACAUUGCCAACAUUCAUUUCUUUUUGUAUUUCAUUUAGUUAAACUUCCGACAUGGGAUUUUAACAUUCUCCAGCCCCAAUAGCAUCAAUCAACACAAUACCACAAACCCAAAACUGUGCAUAAAAGAACAGAAAUCAAUGACUGAUUACAAAUUAACAUGAGGGCAGUAAAAGCUAAUAAUGCAGGUUGAUUUCCACAUUGUUAGCAUGAUAAAUAUUGUCAUUGCACACUUGUGCACCAGUUAAAGCAGGAUAUUAUGUCUUUCUUGUAUCAUCCACUCUCUUGCUAGUCCUAGUUUUUUUGCGCAUUGCAGUUAUAAAUUAACAUUGCCAAGCAAUAAAUUGAUAAAAAGGAAGGGGGAAGAUACAACCAAGCCACCUAUAGACCAACCAAGCAAAACCUGAUGCAAACAAAUAUACAAAUAAGCAAACUUCAAAAGAUACAAUAGCAAAAAACCAAACACAUAUAACCAGAAUCUAAGAACAUUUUAAUGACAAAAAAGAAAACUGACCUUUUGCGUGGAGGCAAUGAGAAAAUAUAGAGAAGCAGACCAACUAUUUGAAAAGGUAAAAACAAAAGACUGAAAUCAAACAAUGAUAUAUCGAUCACCAAAAUAAAUGUACAAUAUCUUUCAAAUUUGAUGAUAAAUUUACAUGCAAUAAGUCGCAUUAUCACUCGUACAACUAACAUACUUCCUAUAUUAGACCACACAACACAUGCACCAUAAUCACUUCAUUGGUGCUCUGCCUCAUUUGCAAAUGUAGUUUUAUCUCCACUGAGUUUCUACAUGCAUGGGAACAUAUGUUUUUCUUGUUAAUUUGAAUAGAUUAUAAACUGUUUAACUAAUUUCUGGGAUUCAUAUCUGUAAUAUCAAACUAUAUCAGUUGGAUUUUAAUGGUAAGUAAAACAGUUGUAUAAUGAACAAACAAUGAAAGAAGGAAGCCAAAUAAUGACAAUGAAAAGAAGAGAAUUCCAACACAUUGAGAAUAUUAGUUUUAGAUUUUGAGAACAGAUUUAUUCCAUUACCUUUUACCUUUCCUCUCUUUUAGCAACAGACAAUAGUCAUUAAAUUUCUUCUCAUGGCGUGUGUGCUGUGAGCUUGGCGAAGCCAUGUGACCUUAAUUUCUUUUCUUUUUUUUGGGAAAAAAUUAUACAAAUGGUACGGUUUCAACUGUACAUGUUUAACCUCAGUGUUUUUCAAUUUCAGUUUUACCUUUACCAUCCAUUUAUUUUCCUAUCCAAAAUGUUUAGAAAAAUAAAUCUAUAGCUGCUAACAGUCUAUAUGCUUCAUGCUGUCAGACUCUGCAAUCUAAAAAUUCAUGUAAAUGCAGAGGUUUGGCUGAAGGAGAGGCAUCGAAGACAUCCAGAAAUCCUUCCAUGGCAAACUUAGUUGUACACCCAUGGCGUGUGUGUUGUAUGCUAGAUGCCCCCUCUCUUUUAACAACACACAAUAGCUUAUGCAAAUGCAAAGAGACUUCAACAUGUUUCAUUUAAAAUAAGUUUACAUUUUGUAGCAAAUGCAUAUGGCGAAAUAGUCUAUAAGUAAUCAUACUGGCAACCAAACAGAACAGUUCAAAAACUUCAAUGGAAAUAUAAAUUGCAGAAAAAAAAAACUUGAAUUUCCAAACCCACAAAAUAAAAAAUUCAACCAGGUUAAAUGUGUAAGAAGAAAUACCAAGAACUGAGAGCUGCAGACAAUCAAAAUGCUCAUGAUCUUGGUCAAGCUGAUGAAAUCCAAAUAUGUACUUUCAUGUCCUCCUCCUUGGUCAAUUCCUUGAGAAGCUUCGAUAUCGCCAACAAUGUCUCCUCUUCGUGGCCGUGGCCAUGGUCGUGCCAACUGCCAUGGAUCUUUCUCCUUCUAACCAGACACCACUUCAACCCUUUCUCCUUUCAAACUUACCUUUCAUCAUCUGCAUUAACAGAAACAAUAACUUUUGUCAGUGCAUUCAAACCAAACCCAUAAAUCAACUGCAAAUCACAAAUUUACCCAAAAAAAUCCCGCAAAGACCCAAACUCCCCGAAAAUUACCAUAUUAGCACUCCCUCCACCCCAAAAUCAGAAAAUUAGAAAACAGAAUAUGAAACAUUGUACGUAGAAAGCAAGGAAUCGAUAAUUUAGGAGGUUUCCCAGGACAAGAAUGAGCUUUUAAAUAUCAUAUUCCCAUAUGGAUGCACAAAUACAGAGAGACUACAGAGACCAUUUGAUGAAAAAAAAUAGAGACGCUCAGAGACUCAACAGACACUAUUCAUAGAUCCAUGACUUAGAAUUUCUCAGAUCCGGUUGAAAUUAAUAAAAAAAAAAUUAGGGAUGUGAAUUUAUACCUCUGAUAGUCUGAGCUCCGUUCCCCUUAUUCCUUUGCCGGCUUGGGGCAAACUUGAGGAGAUCGGUGAUUAGGGGAUACGAAUUCAAAAUAAAAUUUUCUAGUAGUAAUCGUCGCUGCUGCAGUAGUCAUCGUCCUCGGAUUCCAUCGUUGUCUGACCACAAAAACCUAACGGCGGCUGGAGAACCACAGAACAACCAAGAGUAAAAAAGGGAGUGCGGGAGAGAGAAGCAGCCAAAAUACAGAGAAGAUGGCAAGAGAAAGGAGAAAUGGAAAGCAGACAAACAAAAAGUAACAUGGGUGCUAGCCAAUUUCCCAAACCCCACUUCUGCUAAAGCUACAUGCUAUUGAUUAUGAUUAAAAACUAAAUUAAUCAUACCAUUAAUCGCUAAUAAAUAAUGGGUUAUGUUUGUUUUCAUGAAUUCAGGCUCAAAAUACGAACUAUAAAUCCAAAAUUUGAAAUUUAAUUGCUUUAUCUCCUUACCCGAUAGAGCCAGACGAUUACUGAUCACUAAGCAUCCAAUUCUUGAAAACUACCGAAAUCAAAACAACAACUUCCACUCAAUUUCUGAGCAACAGAAAGAUCAAGCCAAAUCAAAACCAACAACUUUCAACUAAAUUGCACAAAAGAGUCAAAAUUUAAUUGCUAUACAGAACUAUCGGUUCAAUUGAAAACAAUUAGAAUUCGAGAACCUACCUCCUCCAUUCUCUGAGAGCGAAGCCCUCCUCAGGCAGCAUCUCCGAUGGAGCCGCCAAAAUCGGAUCGUCGGACCCGCCAAACCCUCCAUCAAAGCCCCGGCCGUUCGAUUCAGCGUAGAUCAACGGAGGAGAGAAGGCCUGCGAUGCCGGCUGAGUGACGAAAGCGUUGUCUACAGCAGAGCUGUGGAAGAUUGGGGAAUCGGUGGCGGAGUCCUUGAGCGACUCAGAGUCGACAAAGGAGUCGAAUAGCUGGGAGGAGAGUUGGGGGUCGUAGCCCAGGUAACCGUUGUGCAGGUGUGUUGAGGGUUCUUGAGUUAAUUGAAAAAUUAAACUUGCAACUGCUUUACAAACCUGAGAGUCAGUAACUGGUAAAACAUGAGCUUGUACUGGCGAAAGCCAUAAUGGAAAAUCCCCGGCAUAAUGCUCUCUAAGGACCCCAAAAAAUCGCUUCAAUGACCCAAGAACAGCUCUAUGAAUCAUGAUAGGCCGCUUCUUUUCAGAGUUUGAGUCAGCAUAUGUUAAGUCAAAACGCUGUGGUCGGUUAAAAUCAACCUGUACAAUUUGGGAAAUACAAAAGAUCAAACAAUUUAAAAUAACAAUAAUAAGUGGCUUUAGUCUAUCAAACAAAUCCAUGUAAUUCGCUCAAUUCAAAAAAGAUGCUCAAAUCUCCAAUGAACAUUUUACAAAGUGACACAGAGAUAGACGGAGAGACUACCAAUUAAAAAACAAAGCACACAUUAGAAUUAUCCCGUCAUGAGUUUAGGAUUAACCUGUAUAGUUGAGCACUGCCACUUCCUUCCAAGGGCAUCCUCCACUUAAGAUCAAUCCUUGGACCAUAAAAGGCACCACCACCUUCAUCAAUUGGAUAGCUCCAACCUUUAUCAUCCAAAGCAUCUCUAAGGGCAGAUGUUGCUUUCACGGUUUCACCCAUAUAUCAUCAUCUCCAACAGCUUUCUCUCGCCUCGUAGAGAGAUUGACCUCAUAUUUGCUGAAGCCGAAUUGCAACAAAAGUUCUUCGGUAAGAUCUAGGACACCCCUAAUUUCAUCUUUGAUCUGAUCUUCUGGACAAAAUAUAUGGGCAUCAUCCUGCAACAGGUCCCGAGAUUAUAAACUAACAGUUUGCAAAUACUAACACCAUACCUGAGUAAAACCUCUUACAUGAAAAAGACCAUGCAAGCUUCCAGAUAAUUCGUAUCUAUAUACGGCUCCCAACUCAGCAACUCGAAUAGGAAAUUCAUGAUAUGAGUGAGGCUUCCUUUUGUAAACCAAGAUAUGAUAGGGGCAGUUCAUCGGUCGAAGCUGAUAAAGUUCAUCCUCAACAUUCAUUUGAUCAUACAUAUUCUCCUUGUAGUAAUCCAGAUGACCACUUAUCUGCCAAAGGUUCGCCUUUGCAACAUGUGGAGUAUACAGCAGAUCGUAACCACGUUCUAUGUGGAUCUUUUUCCACAAAUCUUCCAUUACAUGCCUCACAAUAGUACCCUUUGGAUGCGAGAACACUAAACCCCCACCAGCAUCAUUCUGUGAAAAUUCAACAAUGAAAAUGUUCAAUGCAAGAAUCCUCAUAAUUACAAAUAAUGGGAUUGCUAACUGAUAAAUCUGCGUAAACAGCAGAAAGAGAUUCAGGGCAAUUCUGAGUACCUGUAUAGAAAACAGGUCAAGAACUUGACCAAGGCGCCUGUGAUCUCGACGUUUAGCUUUCUCAUUGAAAUGCCUUCAAUUGAUCUUCACUCUCCCAUGCAGUGCCAAAGAUCCUCUGCAGCAUCGGUUUCUUUUCAUCUCCUCUCCAGUAGGCACCAGCAAUAGACUCAAGUUAGACAACUUUUCUGUUAAUACUUCCAGUUUUUUCAACAUGGGGCCCCGCACAUAGGUCCCACCAUUCAUCACCUAUGAAGAAUUCGGCAUACUAUGAAUGUGUGGGAUUUGAUCGAAUAGGACAUGGAAAAAUGGGUGUACAGCAGUAGAUAUGCUGCGAAAAUUUUCGUCCUGCUUUUGGGAAUGUGAGAAGAUACAUGGGUUUCUAUAUUUUGAUAAGGUGUUGAGGUCGAGCUAUGUUCAUUUUUUUUCUGAAUUUCCUUGUAGUUUGGUAUUAAUGGCGCCUUUUUUUUUUGGAAGACGGGAUUAUAUAUCAUCCGGGCAAAGAUGUCAAAGGAAUACAAGGAGGCAAACAACCAAUACAAGGAAAGGGUAGAGCAAGGAGGUAACAAGAACUAAGACACCGCACCUAGUGCUACAGCGUCCUUCCUCGCACUACCAACACAAUUAAUGCGGACAGGGAAGUCCGUCAUUACACAAAACAUGAACAAGGGAGGAUGGGGGUCUAUCGACCCACGUAAAAUCACAUACCUCCUUACAACGCCGCGAAGCCAAAAGGUCCGCUGCCACAUUGGUCGACCUUGGAACCCAAGACCAGCGGCAAUCUUGAAAGCCACUUCCCAUAAUACUACAUCUCGCAAUAAUCGGGAAGGCUUCCCAGCUGCCCUUCCUUGUUGCGUCCUUCAAACAAGAAAUAGACUCCAGAGAAUCAGACUCCACCAUUAUCAAGUUCCACCCUCUGUUCAUACCCAGCUUACAUCUAUGCAAGAUAGCUUUCGCCUCCAUCAAUGCCACGCUUGUGGCUUUCUCUUUGAACCUGCAGGCAGCCAAGAACCUGCCCUCCUCAUCUCGAGCCACAGCUCCCGUAAAAUCCAGGCCGUCCGAUGCGCACCAGCUGGCAUCCACGUUAAUCUUCACGAAACCCCCACUUGGAGGAGACCAACCAGCGGCAAAGCUAGAUUCCAUAGGAAUGGCAACCUCGGGGUUGGGUUGGAUUGACCAGGCAUCCCUGAACGUUGUUGUCGAGUGAGAAAUAGCGGCAAGAACCUGUGAAGUUUUCCCUCACCAAAUCCCACACAGCCGGCGAUCCUACACAGCGAUUAUCAACGUGUGGAUGGCAAAAUCGAAAAGUCCAAUUUGAACGGAAAUUCCAGCCCAAAGACCCAAAACCCUUUCUGAAGCCCAGAGGCAAUUUGCAAAUAACGUUAAAUCAGGGGGCAGAGAGACUCAGUGGCAAUUUCGUAAAUAAACUGAAAUAUACCCCAAGAUUGCACAGUGCCACCUCCCCCUACUUUAGACUAAAGUAAUUAUAAUUUUCUGACAGACAAAAUUCAUAUUACAUAAUUUUUCAUUUUUUUUCAAAUAUUAUAUAGAAAUGUAUAUGGCUACAACUUUUUAUCUAAUUAUUUGUUAUUUUUGGAUUAAUUUGCAAUUUUAGGUUUAUAUGUUACUGAUUUUGUUUGUCUAUCUCUAAAAUUCAUCUUCACUCCCUAACAAAAAAAAAACACUAUCUUAAUUUAAGAAUAACAGAUGUCGAAGAAAACAUACAAAAUCACAAUAAAACAAUUAGCAUUUAAAUAGGAAAAGAAGGAAAAGAAGGAUUCCGAUAUUUAUUUCAUUCCCUAAGAAAAGCUUCAAGGUAAAAAAUCACCGAAUUUUAAAGCUGAAUCCGACACAUUUCCUAGUGUUUUUAACUGUUAGACAUAAAACCUUAGAUCUCAAAACCAACAGUUUUCAUUCGUUCAAAAAGAAUAAACAAACAACCAAUACAAAACCAUGGACUUUAUUAUCUUCAAUGUUCAAAAACUCUCAAAACUUUUUAAGUUCGAAGCCCUUUUUUUUACUGAGGGAUCAUUUUAAAUUAAAAAAUUAUGCAAAGAAUCUUUGGCUAGUCCAAUCGAAUUGUAGACUGAACGAAUAACUAGAUUAAUGGAAAAAAUUGCAAAGCCAAUAUCCAAACUCAUAAUCUAUAUUUCAUCAAACUGUGAGCAUCAUCGUUCUCAGGUUUGAGAUUGGAAGAUGGUGAUGUUCGUAAACUUGUAGAGGAGAAGAGCUAACCAACGAGUGAGACAUUAUUUACACCAUGCAUCCAUUGACACAUGGACCCGUGAGGUGUACAAUGGUGUGCAAUGCAAGGAAAGAGACAAAGUAUGCAUACUAUUGAGAAAUUUUUCAGUAUGCUGAAAAUACAGCUCAGUACACCAAGUUUCAUAAUAUAAUUAGUUGAUUUUUUUUUUAAAUUUCCAAUCAAUUGUAUUAUUACACUUGAUGUAUCGAAAUGUGUUUCCGAUACACAGAAAAAUUUCUAGCAUACUACUUCCAUAGACCCUGCAACAAAUGGCAAAGCAGCAAAUACUCACCAAGAAAGAGGUCAAACUUGGUAAUUUACCCCAUGAAAGUAUGCCAUUUUCUCAGUUGGCAAAAAUUCUAGGAUAAUACUUUGUACUCACUAGAAUACUGAAUACCCUAUAUAAUCAUUUUUCAAUUUUUUUUUAUAUAAAAAAAGAGGGACAACUGGUGGCAAGUUAUGGUUAACCACCCCUUUUGGGCGUCGGGAAAAUUCACAGAGGCAUUUCAGCCUCCCCUUGGCCAUAAGUAUGGCUUCCACACCAGCAGCGGGUUUCGAACCCGAGACUUGCAGUUUUUAGUUUCAAUUUUGAGUUAAUAAUAUUUUAAUACAUAUUUUAUUAUUUUAAAAAAUAAUAGACAUAUUAUUUAAUUUGUCUUGAGCUUUAAAAACAAAGUAUCUUUUCAUUGGCGUGAACCGAAUGUGAUGUUUAUGGGUAGUUUGGUAACCAAAGUGGUGUUCUUUGAAAAAAAAAUUAAAACUAAAUUGUUUUAGUGAGAUGUCGAUAAAAACUAGGGUGAACCGAACGUACAUGCUUUUCGUUGUGAGAAAAAAAUUGUGUGGAGUUUAGUUGUCAUUAGGGAUGGGCAAUGGUUAUGGCGGGCGGGUAACCGCGGUUAUUUACCCAUAACCGUUCAUGCUCAUACCCGCAUAACCGUUUACCCGUUGGGUAAUUGCCUAAAUGGUUAUACACAUACCCAUAACCAUUUAUAAACGGUUAACCAUACCCAUAACCGCAUACCCAUUUAACCGUAACCGUUUAAUACCCGUUUACCCAUUUACGAUUUUUAACCCGUUUAUCUUUUUUUUUUUUUUUUACCAUUACCCAUUUUUCACCCGUCUACAUGUUUUUUAAGAACUUGAAAAUUUAAAAAAAAAUUGUCAUAAUUUUUUUUUUUUUACAAUUAAACACCGUUAUAGGUACAUUCAUCAUGCAUUUUCGUAUUUUAAUUUUUUAAAUCCUUAUACCAUUCCAAUAAUGGAAAUAAUUGCCGACAAAGACACAACGAGCACUCUUACGUCGGUUAUUUAUAUGCCAACGUAACGAGAGCAAUCCAUUUUCCAAUCUCUCCCCUAGAAAAAUAAAGAUUUUUAGGGAAUAGAACGAACCAAAAACACCGACAACAGGAAAUAUAUAACUUGUACAAUAACUAUGUGUAGAAAAUAACCCAAAGAUGUUGAACAAUAUUGAAGGAAGGGUAAAGAAAAUGUAGGGGGAUCAAUAGCCUUGUAAGAAUGUUCGAUUUCCAGUUUGUUCGAUCCAAGAUCAACAUAUAGCUACAGUAAACACAGAAACAAAUCUAAUGCAUGCAUACUGCAAGGGAAAUGAUUUCAGUGCGCUCCCAUUUUUUUUCUCACUUAAAUUUCUUUUGAUUUAUUCAAUUUAAGGAUAGAAAUACUGCACGGAUUAUCGUUUAUUACUUUUUAAUUAAUUAAAACAUCGCUAUAAAUCACAUUAUAGUCAAUAGCAUUGAUCUAAGUUUUGUCCAAUAGGGAACAUGGUUUGUGCUAAUUUUACAUAUAUAAAAUAAAUGGGUAAACGGUUACCCGUUUAUAACCGCGGUUAAUACCCAUAACCGCCCAUUUAAAUUUCGCAGGUAAACGGUUAUACCCAUAACCGUUUAUUUAUCUAAACGGUUACCCCAUAACCGUAACCGUUUAAUUUAAAUGGGCGGUUAACCGCGGUUACCCAUAACCAAUGGGUAUUUGCCCAUCCCUAAUUAUCAUUAAAUUUUGCCAAGUGACACUAGAACUCAGUUAAAACUCGACAUAUAGUAAGUUUUUAAAGUAUUGUCAACUAUUCUAAAUGUAUGAACAAUGAAUGAGCGAAGAAGAAGCUCUUAGAGAAAAAUAUGAGAGAAUAUGAAGUUUUGUAUAUAUUUUCAGAUGCCAUAAAUGGCAGUUUACAUUUGGUUUUAUAUAGAUGAAUUGAUAAGCUCAAUUACAAUAAUACCCUCCAACAAUUCUAACCAAUCUUACCCUUAUAACUACCUUAAGAUCAAGAGCGACUGAAGCAGAGGCUUGUGAGAGACAAGUUGAAACAGAAAGAAAAGUCGAGACGUUGUAGUUGAAGCAGACCUUUCGAUGAUGAUGGACACGUAACCAUCCCCUCACAAAAUCCUACACAGCCGGAGAUCCUACACAGUGAUAUUCCAGCCUAACAACCCAAAACCCUUUUUGAAGCCUAGUGGCAAUUUUGCAAAUAACGUUAAAUCGGGGGGCAGAGAGACUCAGUGGCAAUUUCGUAAAUAAACUGAAAUGUACCCCAAAAUUGCACAGUGCCACCUCCCCCUACUUUAAACUAAAGUAAUUAUAAUGCUAUGACAGACAAAUUCAUAUUACAUAAUUUUUCAUUUUUUUUCAAAAAUUCAUAUUACAUUUCCUAGUGUUUUUAACUGUUAGACAUAAAACCUUAGAUCUCAAAGUCAACAGUUUUCAUUCGUUCAAAAAGAAUAAACAAACAACCAGUACAAAACCAUGGACUUUAUUAUCUUCAAUGUUCAAAAACUCUCAAAACUUUUUAAGUUCGAAGCCCUCUUUUUACUGAGGGGUCCAAUUAAAUUAAAAAAUUAUGCAAAGAAUCUUUGGCAAGUCCAACCGAAUUGUAGACUGAACGAAUAACUAGAUUAAUGGAAAAAAUCGCAAAGCCAAUAUCCAAACUCAUAAUCUAUAUUUCAUCAAACUGUGAGCAUCAUCGUUCUCGGGUUUGAGAUUGGAAGAUGGUGAUGUUCGUAAACUUGUAGAGGAGAAGAGCUAACCAACGAGUGAGACAUUAUUUACACCAUGCAUCCAUUGACACAUGGACUCGUGAGGUGUACAAUGGUGUGCAGUGCAGGGAAAGAGACAAAGUAUGCAUACUAUUGAGAAAUUUUUCAGUAUGCUGAAAAUACAGCUUAGUACACCAAGUGUCAUAAUAUAAUUAGUUGAUUUUUUUUCUUUAAAUUUCCAAUCAAUUGUAUUAUUACACUUGAUGUAUCGAAAUGUGUUUCCGAUACACAGAAAAAUUUCUAGCAUACUACUUCCAUAGACCCUGCAACAAAUGGCAAAGCAGCAAAUACUCACCAAGAAAGAGGUCAAACUUGGUAAUUUACCCCAUGAAAGUAUGCCAUUUUCUCAGUUGGCAAAAAUUCUAGGAUAAUACUUUGUACUCACUAGAAUACUAAAUACCUUAUAUAAUCAUUUUUCAAUUUUUUUAAUAAAACAAGAGGAACAACUGGUGGCAAGUCAUGGUUAUCCACCCCUUUUGGGCGCCGGGAAGACUCACAGAGGCAUUUCAGCCUCCCCCUGGCCAUAAGUUUGGCUUCCACACCAGCAGCGGGUUUUGAACCCGAGACCUGCAGUUUUUAGUUUCAAUUUUGAGUUAAUAAUAUUUUAAUACAUAUUUUAUUAUUUUAAAAAAUAAUAGACAUAUGAUUUAAUUUGUCUUGAGCUUUAAAAACAAAGUAUCUUUUCAUUGGGGUGAACGGAAUAUGUUUAUGGGUAAUUUGGUAACAAAAGUGGUGUUCUUUUAAAAAAAUUAAAACGAAAUUUUUUUAGUGAGAUGUCAAUAAAAACUAGGGUGAACCGAACGUACAUGCUCUUCGUUGUGAGAAAAAAAUUGUUUGGAGUUCAGCUACCAUUUGAUUUUGCUAAGUGACACUAGAAUUCAGUUAAACUCGACACAUAGUAAGUUUUUAAAAUAUAAUAUCUUAUGACGCAACAUGAAGCAAUGAAAGGGUUACUAGCGUAAUCCCUUGUAGAACAAAGUUACUGUAAUCCACCAGUUUGAUAGAAAUCCCAAAGGAUAAUUUGAUUAAUUGAUUGAAAGAUGAAAAGAUGAUUACAAAGCCAUGGCUUAAAUAAGCCUUUUACAACCUUUUGGAAAUAACUAACAUAUAAUAAAGUCCUUAAAACCCCAAAAGACUCUAUUCAUUAGUAGGCUGCUGUUCUGAUUACUUUAUACAAAAGAUGGCUCAAGCCACUUUUGUGGGAAAAUUAUUUUAACAAGUUUUUGCGAAAAGUGGCUCAAGCCACUUUUAUGGGAAAUUAACACCUCUUUUAUGAUUGCGCCCUUUUGUCUUCCGACGUUCCAUCUCCUCCCCGAUCCAUUCCGCCAUUUGUUCUACAUCAGUCCCUUCCACUUCAGAAGAACUCGACCCCGAGUUAUGAUCAGGAUAAAGAACUUCAUCAUCAUUGAAUGUAUACAAAUCAGCAACGUUGAAAGUAUUGAAAUUCCCAUAGACUCCGGCAAAUCAAUAACAUAGGCAUUGUCAUUAAUUCGCUUGAUAACUUUGAAUGGACCAUACUUUCAUGGCUUUAACUUGCUGUAAGUUCCAACAGGGAAUCAUUCUCUUCUCAAGAACACCAUGAUAGAAUCUCCUUCCUUAAACACUUUACACGCCGAUGUUUGUCCACUGCUUACUUAUACUUAACAUUGGUUUGUUCAAGCCGUUGCUUGACCUCAUCACGAAUUGCCACCACAUCUUCAGCCAUAUUUUAUGCAGCAAUGCUAAGUCCAUGUCCCCUAGGUAGCUUCACCAAAUCCACCACGUGAUGAGGAGUGGCAGUGUAAACAAUGGAAAAUGGUGACUUACCCGUAGCACGAUGCAUGGCACUAUUAUAAGCAAACUUCAUCUGAGGCAGGACAUAGUCCCAUUGUUUUGGCUUUUCUCCACAAAUGUUUCGAACCAUGUUACCAAGAGUCCUAUUUGUGACCUCCGUUUGUCCAUCAGUUUGGGGAUGUGCAAUAGUACUUCGCUUCAAAGUAGUCCCAAACAUUCUCCAUAAUGUAAUCCAGAAAUGACUCAAGAACUUGGUGUCUCGAUCAGAAGUGGUGGACUUAGGUACCCCAUGCAAUCGAACAACCUCCUUGAAAAACAGUUUGGCUAUGUUGGAUGCAUCAGCGGUCUUUUUGCAAGCAAUGAAAUGAGCCAUUUUGGAGAACCUGUCAACCACCACGAAAACUGAAUCCAUUCCCCCUUGCAUUCGGGGUAGUUCGAGCACAAAAUCCAUAGCAAUGUCCUUCCAAAUGUCGUUAGGAACGGGUAAAGGCAUGUAAAGGCCCGUAUUUUGGACUUGCCUUUUUGAAACCUGACAAGUGUAACACUUCCUCACAAUGGCUCCAACAUCUCGUUUCAAUUGUGGCCAAAAGUACCUCUCUUCUAAACUUGCUAUAGUUUUAUCACGACCAAGAUGACCGCUUAGUCCUCCUCCAUGCAAAUCUCGAAUAAGCUUUUCUUGCAAGGAAGAGACAGGAACACAUAAUUGGUUACCUUUGAACAGAAAACCUUCGUUGAUAAAGUAAUCUGACAUAGGUUCAUGAUUAAUGCAUUUCUUCCAUAUUUCCUGAAAAUCAUCAUCGGUUGCAUACAACUCCUUUAAGCACUUGAAACCCACAACUUCUUGGGAAAGAGUGAUUAGCAAUGAUGCUCGUCUACUCAAGGCAUCGACAACCCGAUUUUGAGCUCUAGAUUUGUGCUUGAUAACAAAUGGAAAUUUUUGCAAGAACGUUACUCAUUUGAUAUGCAUUUUAUUAACAUGCUUCUGAUUGUUAAUAAACUUCAAGGCUUGAUGAUCCGUGAAUAGCACAAAUUCUUUCUGAAUGAGAUAAUGUUCCCAUUGUUUUAAAGCUCGAAUCACCACAUAAAACUCAUAAUCAUAAAUGCUCCAUUUUUGACGGGCUUCACUUAGCUUUUCAAAGAAAAAAGUUAUAGGUAUCUUCUCUUGGGAAAGGACAGCACCCACUCCCACUCCACUUGCAUCACAUUCGACUUCGAAUACUUUCUCAAAAUUUGGAAGAGCUAACACCGAAGCUGUACAAAGCUUCUCUUUGAUCAAAACAAAGUUUUGUUCUUGUUCAUCCCCAACGGAACUUGCCUUUCUUCACCCAUCCAAGUGAGUAUGGGGAGACAUGAGGUUUCGUUGGUAGCUGUAAAUGCUCCACCACUUUCUUGGCCACAAAAUUUUCACAACUUCCAUUGUCUACUAUCACUUUGCAAACUUUGCUGUUAAUGGAGCAAAGAGAACGAAAAAUGCAGUGUCGUUGCCCAUCCUCUUUUGGUGCUAAAAGAACUCGCUGCAACACCAAAGCGAGGUGAUCCAUUCCUUCUUCAGUUGUGAAUUCAACGUCUUCAUAGUCAUCAUCACCAACUUCUUCUUCCCUAUAAUCUUCUUCUUGGUUCCCUUCAGCAUCCAACAAGUUGGCUUGUCUCCAUUCAGGACAAACGUUAGAUCGAUGCCCAAUUUUGUUGCAACGAUAACAAAUGUCUCUUAUAGGCUUGGCAUACGGAUUCUCCCUUGGAGGUUGGUUUCUAUUCUGCCCCUUGUUAAAAGUUCUGCUACUCCCUUCAUUUGAUGCUCGAGAAGGAAAACUUGAAGGUUUCAAUCCUCCCGAACUUUGUGGCACAGAUUUUCCUUUGUCGGUGGACGAGACAACAGGGUUUUCAAAAUGCUCCGUCACGUUCCCCCGGAAAGAGGUUUGUCGCCUUUCUUUCUCUAUUAUCUCCGCCUUCAAGGCCAUGUUAAUGGCCUCUUGCAAACUCCACAGAUUUUGCAGCCCAAUCUUUUCUUGAAUGGAGGGUUUCAAUCCAUUCACGAACCUCGCAACCCUUUGAUUUUCUGUCUCCAUCAGAUUGUUUCGCUCCGUAAGUCUCAUGAAAUCAUCCGUAUAAUCAGUCACGUUUCUAUUGCCUUGGACGCAGCUGAUGUAUAUACGGUAUAAAAGAUGUUCAUAAUCCGCAGGUAAGAAACGAUCCAUCAAAAGUUGCUUCAUUUUUCUCCAAGUGCGGAUUCGAUUCUUUCCUUGCCUCUGCCGGGUAUUUUGUAAUUGAUCCCACCAAACAGCGACAGUUGCUUUGAGACGGAAGGCCACCAUCUUCACCAUUUUUGUCUCGGGAAGCUCCAUGACAUCAAAGAAUCUUUCUACUUCAACUAGCCAAUCCAGGAAAUCUUCGAUUUUAAGGUUUCCCGCAAAAAUUGGAAUGUCGGCCUUAAUCUGAAAGUCAUCAAAGUUAUUGUGGUUUUGAUGAUUUGGAUGGUUAGCCGGGUGUGGUUCCACAUCUUCAUCUUCGAACUCCGAUUCGCUGUCUUGAACACGGACCCUAGGAACUCUCAGAUUAUUGACUCCAGCAGUUAUAUGAUUAUUUGGACUAAUGGCUUGGACCAACAUCUCACGAAGUUCUCCAAUUUGAGUAGUCAAGUUUGUAAUCUGUUCAGCUUGAGCAUCCAAGUCUGCUCGAGUGAUAGGGGCAGGUUCACGAUCACGAUCACCCAUGGAUAGAUAGGGUAAACAACGAUGCCAAGACGGGAGAAACCCGCUUUGGUACCAAUUGAAGUAGCACGAAGCAAUGAAAGGGUUACCAGCGUAAUCCCUUGUAGAACAAAGUUACUGUAAUCCACCAGUUUGAUAGAAAUCCCAAAGGAUAAUUUGAUUAAUUGAUUGAAAGAUGAAAAGAUGAUUACAAAGCCAUGGCUUAAAUAAGCCUUUUACAACCUUUUGGAAAAACUCAAAAGACUUAGGAAUUUAAAAUGGAAAUAACUAACAUAUAAUAAAGCCCUUGAAACCCCAAAAGACUCUAUUCAUUAGUAGGCUGCUGUUCUGAUUACUUUCUGCAAAAGAUGGCUCAAGCCACUUUUGUGGGAAAAUUAUUUUAACAAGUUUCUGCAAAAAGCCACUUUUAUGGGAAAUUAACACCUCUUUUAUGAUUGCGCCCUUUUGUCUUCCGACGUUCCAUCUCCUCCUCGAUUAAUUCCGCCAUUUGUUCUACACCAUCUUAUCAUUCUUCUAUUUUAAAUUUUUUAUAAUUAUCUUUUUUACUAAUAAUAUACACCAUGAGAUUAAUCUAACCGUUCAUAUUUUUUUUCUCUCAUUUCUUCUAUUUUUCCUUCUCUCUGCCGUUGCAGUCUUCUUCCUAGUUUCUUUCCUUGCUUCAUUAAGGACACGAGGAAAAGAAAAGCCAAUUUCUCCAACUAUAAUGGAAUGAAAAGAAAGAAAAAAAAUCAAUUUCAGAAACAUAGUUAAAAUCAUCUUGAUCCCCAACUGCAUCUUAAUUGAGAAAAUCCACCCACGAUCUAAAUUUGAGGCUACUGCUCGUCAAGGUAGAAGAAAAGAAAAGGAAAACAAACUUACAUACAAUUUAAUAUAUUUUUGUGAUAUUCAAUUUUGUCCUUAGUCAAAGUAGAUACUGUAAUUCAUUUUUAUUGAUGAAAUAUUAGCAUUGUGGAUGCUUUUUGUUUACAUUCAUAUUCUUAUGAAGAAGGGAAAGAAACAUACAUGCACAACCAUUCAUAUUUGCUGAACACGAGAAAAACUUUGUAGUAGGAUUUAAGUGCUAUAUUUUAUAUUUUGAUUUCAUUUUUUUCUAAUUUUCCUGUGUAAUAUACUACAUGAUUUUCAAGACUAUGCAAAGCUCUAAUUAAAUUUAUAUCUGAUAUGAUUUUCAUGGUGUAUAUGAAUUAGUAGUAGAUGAUCCUAAUUAAUUUAUAGUUAAUUAGUAGAAAAGAUAAUUAUGAAAAAUUAAAAUAGAAGAAUGAUAAAAUAGUAUUAUAUUUAUAAUAGAAUAAUGAUAAAAAAUGGAUGUAGCGCCACUCAGCAAAGUCCAGUAAUAAGCUGAGCUCCACACAAGUUUUUUUGACUUGUUUUACUGACAUUACUAAUAUAUAGAAAAAGUUGUCAAGAAAGAGAAGCAAUGUUAAAAUGAAAUUUUUAUGAAAAAAGGAUUGGACUAAGUUUAUUUUAACCAAAAACAAUAACUUUAUUUAAUGAAAAAACUUAAUUUUAAUGAAAAAAAAUUUAAAUUUUAAUCAAAAUGACAAAAGAACUCAAAUUUUAAUGAAAAAGACAUAAUUUUAAUAUUAAAAAAACUUACGUACCUCCGCGUGUCCUCAGAAAUAAUGUUUAUGAAACUUACUACAUUGUUUAUGAAACUAAACGGUACUACACUGUUUAUGAAACUUAUUAUACUGUUUAUGAAACUUAACGGUAUUACACUAUUUAUGAAAUGUAACAGUACUGCUGUGUAUAUAUGUAUGUUAAUUCUUUUGUCUUAAGUAGGCACAAGUGAAAUCUACAUACAUUACUUUUACUUAUAUUAUUUAUUAUAUACAUGAAUAUACACCUUAUGAGAUUAUAGUACCAAACGUGUUUGUGUUAUCUUGCUCUGUCAAAGGCCUAAAAAUUGUACCAAACGUGUUUGUGUUAUCUUGCUCUGUCAAAGGCCUAAAAAUUGGUGUCAUUGUUGUUACAGUUAGCUAAUUCAUACAUAAUAUAAUAUAUAUGUGUAUUUUCAUGUACUUUUUCUUAUUUAGUUAUAUUUCAAGGGGUGAAGAGAGGGGAUUGGGGGGACGCGAUAGGCACACAUAUUUAUAUUUUAUGUUUUUUUCAUCAUUAAAUAAAAUUAUUAGUUGAUUUUUAAUUAAAAUGCAAAAUUUUGAAACUAUUUUCAUUAAAUUUCAUAUGUUAUAGAAUGCGCAGAGUUUACAAUCUAAUUCCUCGAAACAUAACAACUAACCUAUAAUUUGUAAAACCAGGCACUGAGCAAACCCCGUUUAUUUUUAUUCAAAUUUUCAGUAACUACAAACAAGAAACAAAAUAAAAAAGAAUGAAAACUAUCGCACAAAUGAGUAGUGACCUUAAUCUGCUGCACAUGGUACAAACAACGGAGAUCAUACAUCAUGAAGAUUCAACUUCCUCAACGUUUGCCGUUCGCCUUUGUCUUAAAGGAGGGCUUGAGUAUUCCAUGCCGGUAUCUGAUGACGAGAUAUUGGAUGGCACUGAGGACUCCGGGAAUGAGCUUGUUACUGGAUUUGGCUGAGGUGUUUCAUUUCUAUAACUCUGAGAAGAAAGAGAACUAGCCGCCUUUGUGCUUCCGGUGUUUGAUUCCCCUGAGCUUCUUCUGCGAGUUUUCUUAGAAGAUUCAUGACGGUUGGAAGAAACCUUGAUGAGAUAGACAGUAUUCCGGACAGCUGGUAAAAACAAAUAACGGAAACUAGAAUUAGAAACUGCUUCAAUCAAGAAAAUUAGAAUUUGAUGAGAAACUGUAACCAAAAAGGCCAGCCCCGAGUGAGGUCUCUAUCAAAUUAGGACCACCAGCUGUUGUAUUCCACGUUCAAUCCCAAUUUUACACUCUACUAAGUGAGACAUAAAAAACUCAGUUUUAUACUUACAGCGCCAUGCUGGAACUGUCCUGUAAUGUCCAUCUGUACCCAUAAGGCCUUUGAAAGUAAAAAUCCAACAAAUAGAACCAUGAGGUAGAGAGGGUUCCUGUUUCAUUUGAAGAAAAAAGGCACAGUGAUUAACAGAUGUGCAAGACAUUAGCGUCUGGACACUUAAAAAUGUCCAAAACCUAAAACUCGCAAAAGGAAACAAAAAAGAACGAAAGUAAUUACUUUAAAAGCAUCAUAAAUUCGUUAAAACCAAGAAUGAUCAUCGCCAUUAUAGCCCAUGGAGGAGGUAACCAGUUGUUACUCCGCUUGUGAGCCUCCUGAAAGUACAAAAGCAAACAACAUCAUGAUCGAGCAGAGCUAUAAGCAUAAAGAUAGGGAGCUCGUUACAAAAAUAGUAAUAGGAUGCUAGGAUUUUUCUUUGUAGAAAAAACAAGAAUACACUGAACUUGAUUAUAAGUCGGUCCUAUCUGACUAAACCAUUCCCAAGUCAAGAAUCAGCGCGAUUUUCAAUAUGAAAUGUUUCCAUAUGUUUGGUUUCACUACUAAACUAAAUCCAAUUUACACAAGAACUCCCACCCAAAAUGUCAUCCGAGGACAAUGCAUGCGUCCUAUUUCCACGUUCCUCCCACCAGUUGUUCAUUACUUUUGCAGGAACAUGUUCCAAUAUUCAUAUUUUCAUAACCAAAUCUUUAAAGAACAUUUUAUAAAAGACAAAAUUCAUUUAUUCGAGAUGCAACUCUGAUUAAACGAUAUAAAAACAAUUACACUACUAAAGUUAAACUUAAGUAUACCUGUGCCGAAAUAGCUUGAGUGACGAUAUAUUCGGUCUCUGCUUUGAACUGCUUUGACAAUGACUUGCACUGUACUGGGGUAAUUAAGGUAUCCUUUGAAGAAACAUAGUUUAGAGUUAACCUUAAUAAGAAGGGAGUCUCAUCAUAGAAAAAUUUUACAUAAAAACCAAACCCAUAAAUAAAUGGUACCUCUUGCCAAGAGCUUGAGGCAAGAGGAUCUGUAGGAGGUCCUAGUUUCCUAUUUUGUGAAGAUGAAACAGUAACAGUCCUGUCCACCAGAGAAGAAACUAGGACAUUUUCAAUAUUAUCUGGCUUCUCAUCCAAGCGAAUGGCAGCCAUGGUCAACAAAAGCUUCAGAGACUGCAAGAAAGAGAUGAUCAAACAACUAAAACAUCACUUUAAGUCAGAAAGAUAGAUAACAUGUACUUCCACAAAAGUUCCCAAUGAUUACCGCAGUUCGUGCAUCCUUGGUAAUACUUCUAAUGUCUUCGUUCCCAGUUCAAACCCUAGGCAUUGAAUCGCUGUCAUAAUUGAAGACUACGGCAAACCUGAGAAAUGACAACAGAAGUGAUCAGCAACCAAAAUAACAAGGUGAAAAGGAAAAGAAGAUUUUUAAAAAGUUCCUACCGAUCCUUCAUGUGGAUCAUAAUUUUCCCAGCCUCUUCUCUUGCUUUUUUCUCCACCAAUUUCUUGCAUAAUCCUUCAAAUGCUGCUUCAUUUUGACAACCGUUUCAUUGUCCAACUCAAAAUUGGCAACUGCAGUUGAGAACUCCGAUACUGCAACUUUGGUCUCACGAUUAAGUAGUUUUCGUAUCGAAGCCCAGGUGUCUUUCGCACCAGUUUCCAGUAGAGCCUCUACAGGACCGCUUAAAGACGAAGAAAGUUUUUUUCUGAAAAAUAAUGGGUAUUUGCAUUAAGAAAUUUGAAUAACCAAGACUUUGAUACAUUAUCAGAGCACUACCUCAUAUGUGGAGAUAAAUGACCACAUACCUCAUCGUGGACCAACUGUUUGAAUUUCUGGUUGGCAAUCUCUUCACACCGAACCGUAGCAACCAUAACCUAAUUAAAUUACAGUAUGUGUAUUAUAUAUUAUAUGCAUACGAGAAGUGAAGUCCUUGUUCUCUUUGAUUACUUUCCAAAUCUGUUGUGCACUAAAGGAAAAUCCUGACGCAGGGACAACACCCCUUCUAUCGCCAGCAAGCCCUCGUGGAGAAAUAGAAUGGAAAAAGCCAUCUCUCUUUCUUUCUCUUUUGUGAUGCGUCCAUCUCAGCCUCCCCAAGCAACUCGACGGCGUUGCUGCAGGCCAUGGCGAACAGUUCCACUCGAAAAUCCGUCCAAUUUGAGCGAGAGUCAAAGAACUCGGGGAAGAAUCGGACCUCGUAGUUUUGGAUGUGGCUCGCCAGAUGAGCCAUGGUUUCCAGCGAAAACGGGCACCAAAAAUUUUGGUCUCGGAUCUUCGACCUGGAUCCCCAUCAACAAAAUCGAACAACACAGAUUCAAGGUAAUGUAUAUGUGUGUCUGAGGGUUUGAAAUUGGGGGAAGGGCGGCUGAGCCAUGUGAAAUUCGGUGAGAUGACAUAGAGUCGGGAGCGAUGAUGAGUUUUCGGUUGUUUUGGGGAGAUGUUGCUUUAUUUAGUUAUAGGGAAUUUUAUUGUUGGUGCGUGGUGAAGGAAGGAGGGAGGAACAAACAUGGAAUACUUAUGGAAGUUGUAGAAGUACUUACUACUCUCAACCUUAUUGUUACGAAAGCAUACAUAUCUUCGGAUAGUGGCUGGUUCAUGGAUGGUAAAAAUCCUUUUAUUACGGACUUUUUUAUCGCUGUAAAAAUUGUCCUUUUUUGUUCGAGCUAGAAACUGAUUAUGUGAUUUGGUUUUCAAAUCGGUUUUAACUGCCGCUGAUCAAGAUGGAAACAAGGUUACAGAUGAGGUUUUGAAUUAUAUUCUAAACCUAAUCCAAUACUAACUGUGUUUGCCAUUUUUUUUUCUUGCUUUUGCAGCGAAUGAUGUAAAAAUACUUUAUUCAAAAGGUUACAUUUGUUUGGUCUACUGUGGUUACAUUUUUCAUUUGAUUAAGCUUUGUCAUUGUGUAUAUAUUGGUUGUUCUGUUUCUUAAUAUUGGUGUAGGAAUUUGAUACUUAAAUGCUUCUUCAGGUAUGAAUGGCUCCCAAAACAAAUAAAACACUGUAACUUCAUUAACUGCCGGAAUCAAUCUCAACAUAAAGGAAAGUUUCUGUAAGCAUGCUCUAUUCCUAGGGAGAUUUCAGUUUAAUAGAAUUUUUUGUUUAUGUGGGUUUUGAAUUUUAUCAUAAGAUUUUUUCUUAAUUGGUAUUCAAAAGCGAAUAAAAUAUGUGUUCCUUGGGUCUGACUUUUUAGUUGUUUUGUUAUGAAAUUGUUAAUUGAUUGCAUAUUGUUAAUUUGAUACAUUUUUUUUUUAUGUUAGCUCCAAUUUCAUGCUCUAAGAAAGUUAUGGAUUCAUUUUUUGUAGCAAAUAUUAAAGUAUCAAUAUCCAAAAGAGUUAAAUUAGUUUCAAUUCUUAAAUUAUCAGUACACAGAAGAAAGAUCUAUUAGUUUAAUUUAAAUACGUUUGGAAAGUUAGAAAUAGCUCUAUUAGUUUCAAUUUGUACACUUUUUGAAAUUUAGAGAUCUACUGAGCAUGUUGAAAAUUUGAAGUUGUACUUUUGCGUACUCCAAACUGUGACCUAUAGUUCCCUUAAUAUUUUCAUCCAUUUGAAUUGAUACAAAAUAACAUACUGAAUCCAUGAUCAAUCCCAUUACUAUGUUUAUGUCAAUAUUCUUUCACUUUCUUACACUGAAUUUAACUUUGCUAACACUGGUAAGCUUCCCUUUCAAAAAAAAUUUCUCUUCAGUAAAUACGAUUUAUCAAUGCUUAAUUUGGGUUUGGAGUUGUUUUCUUCUCAUGGUAAAAAUUGGUGUGUCCCAUCCAGAACAAUUAGUGGCCAUUUUUGAGGUUUAUUCCAGUAAAGGGUUUAAGGUUUUUUAUAAUGUCAUAUCGUGUUAGGAUUUUUGAAAGUUGGUUUAUUUUGAAAUUAAAGAUUUUAUGCAUCAUUCAGUUGGUGAAGGACACUUUGAAAUCAAUUUUUUCCGCAGCUGAGACAAUUGAUUAGUUGAUAAGAAAGCGACAUUUUCAUUCUAUUUGUAAGAUUUAGCCAAAAGUAUUUUUUAACAACUAUGAUAUAGUUUGAUUUCAAUUCAGAAGUACUUAUUUUGUUAAAUUUAACCUCGAAUAUGUUAGUAAAUCUUUAUACUUUAUGUGCAAAUACAUAUAUAAUCCUGUAUGUAUAAUUUUUAUAAUGUUGCUAAACAUUUUUACUUUCAUCUUUUUGUCCGUAGAGGGUGAAAACCGCGCCGUUCACAGAUGCAAAACAGGGAACAUCUCCUACUUCAUAUGAGAAGUAGAGAUUAGUUCGAUUGUGAUUGUUUUUCUGAUUUGGUUAAAUUCGAAAUUAGUUGGCUUGCGUCUAAUUUAGUUGUUUGCAUUGGUCACACAUGUAGUCGUUUUCUAACUUAGUUCAUCAAAAUAUGUCAUACAAUUUCCACUCCCGCAAUAACGCGUGAAUCACAUUUCCCGCAGCAAUGCGUGGGCUACACUUUCUAGUUAUUACUUUAGUCUAAAGAAAGCAUUGCAAUUGGCACAAUGAACAGUGUUUGUACUCGGAUUUCAGUUUAAUUACAACCAUGCCAUUGCUUUAAUGAGUGGGCUUUGUGGAAGGUUCGGGUUCGGGUUUAUUUUUUUGGGUUUGGGCAAAUGGGCUGCUAAAUCUCUACAAAGAAAACAUAUAAUGUAAAACAAAUAUUUAAAAAAAAAAUACAAACCCUAAACUUAAUCAUUCAAAAUAAUAGAAAAAGUAAAGUAGAAAACCCAACCCCCGAAUCCCAUUCCCUGCUAGCAACCUUUCCCUUCCCAUUUUGCCCGACACCCCGCCCAGCUUAGUUCUCUCUCUCUCUCUUUUUCCCUAUUCAUGACGGCACCUGAGAUUUGAUGAUGACAUAUUUUACUUAUUUUAAAUUCUAUUUUAAAAUAAGCUGGGGUGUCAGGUAAAUUCUAUUUUAAAAUAGACUAGAUCUGGCCUUUUACUAACUUCUUUUAAUUUUUGAUUUUUUUAAUUCUAUUUUACUUAUGUUUUUCAUAGUUAUCUUACCCUUUGAAAUGACAUAUUUACCCUUAAUUUUGAAGGCAAUUUGGAUGGAACUCGAAAAGCUUAACAGUAGGGGCCAAAUUGACCACUUAAACAUAGUUCGGGGGUCAAUUGGCUGAAAAAAUAGUUCAAGAGGAAAUUGACACUGACGUCAUAGGUGUUAAAUGACAGUUUACCUUGCGGUAGGUAAGGAGUGAGGUGGAUGCGGUGACUCGUCCACAGAGCAUCUGCAGCUUGCAGGCAGAGAGAAGAGGAGAGAUGAAAGAGUCGUGGGUGAGAGAAGAGGGGAGUGGGAAGAGUCGUGCGUUGCAAACGGGAUGGAAGGAAAGAUGGGAGGGGUAGGAUGAGCGAAUCAAGCUGGAAGCCAUUUCCGCAACAAUUAAUGGGGAAGGCAUGGUUGUGUGCAGUUCGUGGGGUUGGCCGGUCAGGAAGGGGUUACUAAGGGAGGUACGGGAGAGUUUGAUUUCUCUGUUUCCUUCCUUUAUUUCUCUGUUUCGUCUACUAUAUCCCCCAGCCAUAAAGCACAAAAGCAGUUCUACUCAACACACACACACCCAGACACCUCCACAACUGGCCACCCCACCUCCAUUUCAGCUCAGCUUGUAAUUACAAGUGACCAUGCACUCAAAUUGGAGUUUGUUCCAGAGUGGAUUGCCAUUGUCGGCAGUGGUUACAUAGGUCUUGAGUUCAGUGACGUAUAUACAGCACUUGGGAGUGAGGUAUUUCCUUUCUUUCUAUUUUCAUUUAUCUUCUGAGUUUUUACAAUAGUUCUAUGUGAAAUUUGCUAAUUUUAUGGGUCAAUCAAUAACUUCUCUCACGUUUUAUUUAUUUUAAUUUUUCAAUACUGUUUUUUUACUAUCUAGGAGUUCUUAUCUCACAAGGCAUCCUAGAUUAAUCCUAAGUAUUUUGUAGGUUACUUUCAUUGAAGCUUUAGAUCAGCUUGUGCCUGGUUUUGAUCCUGAGAUUGGAAAGUUAGCCCAUAGGGUUCUAAUUAAUCCACGGAAGAUUGAUUGUCAAACUGGGGUAUUCGCAUCCAAGGUAAGCUGAUGAUUGACGUUUUUAUUAAGUGUUUUCAGGAUUUCUGUUUCAGUUUUUUCACCUUCUUUGGUCUCUUAUAGAUCACACUAGCCAAGGAUGGGAAACAAGUCACCAUUGAACUAAUUGAUGCAAAGACCAAGGAACCAAAAGAAACUCUUGAGGUAAAUAACUGGAUCUGUCGCUAAUUUAUAGAUUAUAACCUGCUGUGAUUCUGUUCUUGAAGUCAGGCAUAUGUUUAGACUUCCAAAUUGAUGACUUAGUAGCCUGAGUGCUUGCCUUAAAAUUACUAUAGGCAUAAGUGUUACAGUUCAUAAGUAUGAAAGGUUUUUCAAGGCAUUUGUGAUAGACCAUUGUACUCUUUAUCUUCUCCUAGGUAGAUGCAUCACUAAUUGCAACUGGAAGAGCGCCAUUCACACAAGGUCUUGGAUUGGAGAAUGUAUGACAUCUCGAUUAGCAUUUAUUUAAUUUUGGAGUCUAUAUAAAGUUAUUCAGCAAAUUCAUGUGAUUAAAGUCUGAAAAAAUACAGUGAAAAAAAUGCAACUUUUUAUAUGGCAAAUGUGCUUAAAGAUUUGACAUGUUAUUGAAUAUUAGCCAUGUAGUUUGAAUUAGAUAUGUGAUUGAAUAUUAGGUAUUUAGUUUGAAUUGAUUUGGACGUGUGGUUUAUUUCAUUGGAAUUUGGAUAUGUGCUAAUUUGAAGAACAUGACAAAAUCUGAAGAACCUUAUUCAGUAUUUGGCCAUUAGAUAAAACAUCAACAUAAUUUCCCUUGCUUUCACUGAUUCUCUGUGAUUACAGUCUGGAAAAAUACAGUGAAAAAGAUGCGAACUUUUUAUGGAGUUGACAAUUUUCGGCUUAGUUUUGGAUCAAAAAGAAUUAGAGUGUUACUUAUUAAGUUGAGUUAACAAAUUUGCAGCAUGCAACAGAGCACAUAGGAGAAGUUUUCAAACGAGUUAAGAAGAUCCAGUUGAAAAGAGCAUACAAGAUAGAGAACUGGUAUGCUGCUUUGUCUUUCUGUUGGAUUUUGAUGUUUAUGUUCUGCUGCUAAGUAGACUUUAUAGUGCCAUGUUAUUGAAUAUUAGCCAUGUAGUUUGGAUAUGUGAUUAAAUAUUAAGUAUUUAGUUUGAAUUGAUUUGGAUAUGUGGUUUAUUGAAUUGGAAUUUGAAUAUGUGCUAAUUUGAAUUGGAUAUGUUGAGUUAGAGAUGUGCUACUUUGAAUUGGAUAGGUUGAAUUGGAGUAUGCUAUAUUGAUAAAUGAUGCACUGAUGGUUACAGAACACACACGCACACACUCACCAGUCAUCACAUACUUUGGGGCUGCAUAACCAUAGGUUCCCAUGACUCGCAUCGAAACAUGAGUUUUAUCACCCUCAGGACCAUCUUUUACAAGUUCGAAAUCCGAAGGCUUGGCAUUGUAAUCCUAAAAUAACACAUUCCAUUUUCAGAAGAGAAUAGGAGUAGGGAAAGAAAUGUAGUUGAUGCUCAGUUAUUGUCACUCACUGCAUCUAAUAGGAUAUUAGAUGUUUUGAAGUCACGGUAUAUGACUGGGUUUUGAACUUCUUCAUGAAGAAAGACAAGACCCUUUGCAGCACCGAGUGCAAUUCUCAUUCUAAUAGACCAGUUCAGUUCCGAUCUAAAGGCGAGGUGUUGUUUCCAUCACUGGUCAGCGGACACACGUUCUGUGGAUCAGUUUGCAUGCACGUCGUUUGUUCUUGAUUCCAUCUUUCAAUUACAUCAUUAUGAUGUCUAUAGUUGAAUAAGUUUUGUAUAGUUAUUGACCGAAAAAAAAAGAUAAUUUUUCUGGUAUAUUUAGAACAAAGCCAAACUUUUAGUAAGCAGAGAAGCCACAUGUGUUGAAGUUGAGUGGUUUCAGCUUCUCCCUUUGGGGCUUUUGCACAAUCAAAUUUUAUAUUUUUGUGUCUAUUGUCAUUUUUUGCAGCUCUAAUACUGUGUAUUGGUAUGGUUAAUUCUUUGAGGUGCAGGUUACCCUAUAGACGUUACAAUUUAGGUCUUUAGUUGUUUGAUAGAAAAUCGCUUUGAUUCAUCGUUUCUUAUCGGAUAGUUUGAUCGUUAGGCUCUUAUUUCAGAUCGUAACUCAUUUUGGUUGCAAGUUUGUUCUGUAAUUUUUUUUUCCUCUGCUAUUAAUAGCUUACCACAUGUGGUAGCAGAGUGAUUGUGUUGGUAGCUUAUGUAUACAAGUGAAUUCAGAUGACACAAUGAGUUUGAUAUUCAAAAAAAAAAAUGUCUGUUAGUUCAGCUUUUGAAUCUUUAAAAACUAUCGAAUCAAUUUGAAUGUGUAAUUUUAUGUUUAUUGUUAGGUAAAUUGCUGUUUUUUUCGCUGAUAAAAUGUAUAGAGUUUGGCUGUGUAAAUGUGUAUAGUUUUAUACGUUUCGCUCGGUAGACAAUUUGAUAAUGGCUGAAGUGCAUUCUUUAAUGAAAUGUGUUUUCUUUCCUCGAUCGUGAAUGCCUUUUUGGUAUUUUGCAGAUCGAAACAAAGUGAAAGCUUUUGACCAUGAAUUUUGCAACCACUGCCUUGCUGCUUUGGUAAAGUCUCAACUUCUUUAUAAUAUCAAUUAAUUUUGGCUGUAAUGUUAGGCCUCGUUUGUUUGACCUCCUUAGCUAGGACUGGACUAGCUAGGACUAAUAACCCAUGUUUGGUGCAAGCCGGGAUUGAGUUUAGUGGGAUUAAGUCGGACUCGUGCCGACUAAAUCCUUCCUUAGCUGGGCUUAGCGAGAGCCCCCGAAAAGGAGGGGAUUGCUAGUCCUGUUUCCCUGUCUUCCCUCUCACGCCGCGUCCUCGUGCUCAUCGUGCACGACUGCACCAUCUCAGACGACGACUCGUCUUCCUCCACCCACCCCUUGCUGUCUGCAACUCCAAUCCCUGCCCAUGCCCAUACCUAGCCCCACCCACCCGUGUCGUCUGCAACUUCAAUCCUCACCCAUGGAAGAAUAAUUGAAGUUGGACGGGAAAAGAGGUAAAGGGAAGAGAGAGAGGGAUUUGAACGGAAAAACAAAGGGAAGAGAGAGGAAGCUGAACAUGAAAGCUCACCAUGGCUGCCAUUAAAUUGGCGAUGCUAAGCUUGAGAGGGAGGGGUUGGGGUUUUUUGGGGGAAGCCGGUGGUACUGCAAAAAAGAGGGAGAAAAGGCAGAAAAAAGGGGCGGAGACAAAAAUGAAUCAUGGAAGAAGAUGAUUCUGCAAAUGAUAAAAUAAUAAUAAAAAAAUUAGUAGAUUAGAUUAAAUUAAUAAUAAAAUAUUGUAUAUAUAGAUUUAAUAAUAUAAUAUUAGAGUCAUGUUUCUUAAUCCGGCACUGCAUCAAACGCUUCACUAAAUCAGUCCAGCUUAGUCUAGUUUAAGCCAGUCCAGCUUAGUCCCUAAAGCUAGUCCAGUCCGAGAUAGUCCGGUGCAACAAACGCACCCUUAGGGUAUUGAGUUGAAUGCAUAUGCUACAUGGCAUAGGUCUAACAUGAUUAGAACUUUAAUAUCAUGAUGUAUGAUAGUGGUUUAUUGAAUUGGAAUUUGGAUAUGUGCUAAUUUGAAUUGGAUAUGUUGAGUUAGAGAUGUGCUACUUUGAAUUGGAUAGGUUGAAUUGGAGUGUGCUAUAUUGAUAUAUGAUGAACUGAUGGUUACAGAACACACACGCACGCACUCACCAGUCAUCACAUACUUUUGGGCUGCAUAACCAUAGGUUCCCAUGAUUGCCGUCGAAACAUGAGUUUUAUCACCCUCAGGACCAUCUUUCGCAAGUUAAAAAUCCGAAAGCUUGGCAUUGUAAUCCUAAAAUAACACAUUCCAUUUUCAGAAGAGAAUAGGAGUAGGGAAAGAAAUGUAGUUGAUGCUCAGUUAUUGUCAUUCACUGCAUCUAAUAGGAUAUUAGAUGUUUUGAAGUCACGGUAUAUGACUGGGUUUUGAACUUCUUCAUGAAGAAAGGCAAGACCCUUUGCAGCACCGAGUGCAAUUCUCAUUCUAAUAGAUCACGGAAGAGGCAGGGACCCUAUUACCAAAGAUCAAUAGGCAACCAUAAAAUAAAAGGGUAGCCCUUUGGAUUUUGACUUUUAACGUGAUUCAAUAUUGGUUAGCAAGAUAUCAUGGAACCAAGAUAUAGUUAGCUGGCUAAUUGAAAUCCUAAUUAAGUAAGACAUUUGUACUUGCCUUGGUUAGACAACAUUAAGAUUACAUGGUGAUUUGGUGUAUUCCUCCAAGUACUAUAAUGGGUGGGAUUGGAGGAACCCAAUUCACUAUAUUAAGGGUGUCCCUACUUUCACAAAAUGCACGUUCCAUUCUGGUUCGCCGAUAUUUUCUUAUUGAUUUUAUGUUUCCCAGCUUAAAGUUUAGUAAGAAACACUUGACUUAACAAAUGGUAAGUCCACUUGGUGGACGGCUUAUAAGUAUACCUUAAUGCGCAGGCAAAAAUACUCUCAUUUUUGAUAAAAAUUGUGAACAAUAUAAAUCACGACUUUUAAUUGGGUUUACGAAAUUAAAGUCAUACAAAGGAUCUACACGUACAAACUUUAUAUAUAUCUCAAAAGAAAAUAAAAGGUAUUCAUUCCACAGACAGUCUACAUAAAACAUUCCCCCAGGGCAUUAAAGCAAUUAGGAGCUAGGACAGUAAUCUUGCAGAAUGCAAGUCCACUGCUAGCUAGACAUAUUUCAUGCAUUAAUAGCCCUGUAGUUCUUUCUGAUUAACUCUGUUGUAAUCUAUGUGUGUUGCUGAUGAAAGAAGAUCAAGGUUUAGCCAUCAUCCUUAAUGGUCCUUGAAACUCAGAUCCGUGUCGAUGGGUACUUUCACUUGCUAUGCAUACGGUGAUAAUUGUGGCUGAUGCUGUUAUGAUUCAUCAUCAACAACAACAACAACAACAACAACAACAAAGCCUUUUCCCACUAAGUGGGGUCGGCUAUAUGAAUCCUAGAACGCCAUUGCGCUCGGUUUUGUGUCAUGUCCUCCGUUAGAUCCAAGUACUCAAGUCUUUUCUUAGGGUCUCUUCCAAAGUUUUCCUAGGUCUUCCUCUACCCCUUCGGCCCUGAACCUCUGUCCCGUAGUCACAUUUUUGAACCGGAGCGUCAAUAGGCCUUCUUUGCACAUGUCCAAACCACCGGAACCGAUUUUCUCUCAUAUUUCCUUCAAUUUUGGCUACUCCUACUUUACCUCGGAUAUCCUCAUUCCCAAUCUUAUCCUUUCUCGUGUGCCCAUACAUCCCACAAAGCAUCCUCAUCUCCGCUACACCCAUUUUGUGUACGUGUUGAUGCUUCACCGCCCAACAUUCUGUGCCAUACAACAUCGCUGGCCUUAUUGCCGUCUUAUAAAAUUUUCCCUUGAGCUUCAGUGGCCUACGACGGUCACACAACACGCCGGAUGCACUCUUACACUUCAUCCAUCCAGCUUGUAUUCUAUGGUUGAGAUCUCCAUCUAAUUAUCCGUUCUCUUGCAAGAUAGAUCCUAGGUAGCAAAAACGGUCACUUUUUGUGAUCUUCGCUAGAUUGCUCCGGUCAUUAGUGUGGAUAAGUAUAUAAAUGGAUAGGGAUAGGAAAGCAAACACAAGAUGUACGUGGUUCACCCAGAUUGGCUACGUCCACGGAAUAGAGGAGUUCUCAUUAAUUGUGAAGGGUUUACACAAGUACAUAGGUUCAAGCUCUCCUUUAGUGAGUACAAGUGAAUGAUUUAGUACAAAUGACAUUAGGAAAUAUUGUGGGAGAAUGAUCUCGUAACCACGAAACUUCUAAGUACCGGAGUGUGGUAUCGUCUUGACUUUCCUUAUCUGUCUCAUAGGUAGAUGUGGCAUCUUCUCUGGAAGUACUCUUCCUCCAUCUAGGGGUGGUAUCUGUAACUGGUGGAGAUGCACAAGGUAAUGUAUCAAUGUCACUUGAAGCUUACUUGUAGUUUCAAGCUUGGUCAAGCGCGAUACAAACCAUGUAGUAGGAGCCCCCAAGUCGCCGAGCUAGGGGAUCUGCUGAAAGAGGUGACAGACAAGGUAAGCAAUCAGAGCUCCGGCUGAUUGUUCACAUUCUCCCUAUCUUGCAGGCAGCAUGAAGGAUAAAGAGAAGAAAAAUGAGAAGAGAUGAUAUGGGAUACUUUUGCUUUUGAAGAAGUAACUUUCCACAAGCUUAUUCUUGAACUGGGCUGGAAGGUUUUCUGGUUUCCUCCAGAGUAUAAGGCCGACUGAAGAAUUUGAGGGUCAAAACAAGUCCAUCAAAUCUAGAGUACGUUCGACCCUGCUGAUAUGGGAUACUUUUGCUUUUGACAGAGUAGUGGAUGUAUCGGCACGUGUGCUGUUACGCUUGUCUCCACAUGUUUCAUUUUAUCCUUCUCACUUGCCCUAUCUGUUCCUCAGGCAGAUGCGGUAUCUUCCCUGGGAGCAUAAGAUGUUGAAGAUGAGUACUCGAGAGCAAUGCCAGGUAAGUAAUCAGGUAAGGGGUUCCAGGCAGUCAGUUCCUGGCUGGAAGCUUGAUUCCAAGUGCUGACUGAUUGCUCUCUUUCUUUUUGUCUUGCAGGUAAGAACAAGGCCAAAGGAAAAGACAGGGAAAAAGCAUGAUAUGGGAUACUCUUGCUUUUAACCCUGAUGAUAUGAGAUAUUCUUGCUCUAGUAUAGCUUGUUUACAGAGGUAUUAUCGGGGGGAAAGAAAGCUGAAUAUUUCGAAAGGCUUCGUUGGGAGUGCCCUCUCAAAUAAGAGGAAGGGUUGAGUAUUUUUGCAGGUCUGCCUGUCCGUUGGGGAUGGAGGUCGACAUAUAUAGGAGUCUCCCUAACAUCAAGUAAUAAUGCUAUUCCUUUACCCUGCUUGGUCAUAGCACGGUAGUGGGAGCUGCCAGCUUCACAAGUUUUAACUCUGUUAGAGCACUUUGAAAAAGUGGUCUGUGGUAUCUGGAAAGCUGAUGUUGCGUGUGAAGAUUACAGACAAGCUUUAUCCAAGGAGAUCCAGCUCUUGAAGUUGGGAAAGUGGUGCCUCUUCGGUUUUCGAACAAGCAAUCCUGUCGGGGAUCUGGCUCUCGAGAUUCGGAGAACGAUGCCUCUUCGAUUUUGAGAAAGCAAUCCUGCCGGGGGUCUGGCUCUCGAGAUUCGGAGAGCGGUGUCUUCGAUUUUUGAGAAAGUAAUCAUGUUGGGAGUCUGGCUCUCGAGAUUCGGAGGGCGGUGCCUCUUCGAUUUUGGAGCAAGCAAUCUUGUUGGGAGUGUUUUCUCGAAUGUGAGUAAAGGUUGGGCAUGUUUGCUAGUCUAUCUUGCCACGAAGCACAGAGGUUGACACACAGGGACUUUCCAAUUAUCCAACAGUGGUACUGUUCCUUUACCCUCUCUUCGAUUUUUGAGAAAGUAAUCAUGUUAGGAGUCUGGCUCUCGAGAUUCGGAGGGCGGUGCCUCUUCGAUUUUGGAGCAAGCAAUCUUGUUGGGGAUGUUUUCUCGAAUGUGAGUAAAGGUUGGGCAUGUUUGCUAGUCUAUCUUGCCACGAAGCACAGAGGUUGACACACAGGGACUUUCCAAUUAUCCAGCAGUGGUACUGUUCAUUUACCCUCUCUUCGAUUUUUGAGAAAGUAAUCAUGUUGGGAGUCUGGCUCUCGAGAUUCGGAGGGCGGUGACUCUUCGAUUUUGGAGCAAGCAAUCUUGUUGAGAGUGUUUUCUCGAAUGUGAGUAAAGGUUGGGCAUGUUUGCUAGUCUAUCUUGCCACGAAGCACAGAGGUUGACACACAGGGACUUUCCAAUUAUCCAACAGUGGUACUGUUCCUUUACCCUCUCUUCGAUUUUUGAGAAAGUAAUCAUGUUAGGAGUCUGGCUCUCGAGAUUCGGAGGGCGGUGCCUCUUCGAUUUUGGAGCAAGCAAUCUUGUUGGGGAUGUUUUCUCGAAUGUGAGUAAAGGUUGGGCAUGUUUGCUAGUCUAUCUUGCCACGAAGCACAGAGGUUGACACACAGGGACUUUCCAAUUAUCCAGCAGUGGUACUGUUCAUUUACCCUCUCUUCGAUUUUUGAGAAAGUAAUCAUGUUGGGAGUCUGGCUCUCGAGAUUCGGAGGGCGGUGCCUCUUCGAUUUUGGAGCAAGCAAUCUUGUUGGGAGUGUUUUCUCGAAUGUGAGUAAAGGUUGGGCAUGUUUGCUAGUCUACCUUGCCACAAAACACAGAGGUUGACACACUGGGACUUUCCAAUUAUCCAGCAGUGGUACUGUUCCUUUACCCUUGUGGGUAAUAAUAUGGUAGCUAGACCUUCAAAAUUUAUGUGUCUAAACUUUGUUAAUGUUGUUUCUUUGCUAUUCUUUUACCCUUCUUGGUCAGAGCGAUGUAGUGAGAGCUACAAGCUUCACGUGUCUCAACUUUGUCAGAGAACUUUGGCAAAGUUAUAUGUGGUACCCAUGAGCUACUGUUGCGUGUGGGAAGUGGGUGAUUGAACAGUACGAUUCAUGUGCUUUCUACUUCGCCAGAAAUCUUCGACAGAAUGCCCAUAAUUUCCGCAAAGCUGAGUGUGCGUGUGACAGGUGCUGACAAGGCUGGAAAAGUAGGUGCCUCUUCGAUUUCUGAGAUCGGCCCUCGUGGUCUCUGAGCAGCCCAUCUUUUGAGAAAGCAAACCUCUUCGAUUUCUGAGAUCGGCCUUCGUGGUCUUUGAGCAGCCCAGCUUUUGAGAAAACAAACGCCUCUUCGAUUUCUGAGAUCGACCCUCGUGGUCUCUGAGCAACCCAGCUUUUGAGAAAGCAAACGCCUCUUCGAUUUCUGAGCAGGCGCCUCUUCGAUUUCUGAAGCUUCGUCGAGUGCAGAUUUUUAUAGGGGCUGACAUUAAGUUCCAAAGCACACUUGAAUAUCCACCAGUAGAAGCUCUAUUCUUGCACUUCGAAGAUCUUGAUUUGUCCGACCUCUUCUCUCUUCAACACCCUUUGAAAAUGUCUGGCCCCUCCGACCGUCGUUUUGACUUGAACCUUGUUGAAGAGGCAGCCCCGCCUUCUCCAGACAACAUAUGGCGCCCAUCCUUCGUCUCCCCUACUGGUCCUCUUACCGUUGGGGAUUCCGUGAUGAAGAAUGAUAUGACCGCUGCGGUAGUGGCCAGGAACCUUCUCACUCCCAAAGAUAACAGACUACUUUCCAAACGGUCUGAUGAGUUGGCUGUUAAGGAUUCUCUGGCUCUUCAGUGUUCAGUGUGCAGGUUCUGUGUCUAAUAUGGCCCAACGCCUAUUUGCUCGAACCCGCCAAGUUGAAUCAUUGGCGGCUGAAGUGAUGAGUCUCAAACAGAAGAUUAGAGGGCUCAAGCAUGAGAAUAAACAGUUGCACCGGCUCGCACAUGACUAUGCUACAAACAUGAAGAGGAAGCUUGACCAGAUGAAGGAAUCUGAUGGUCAGGUUUUACUUGAUCAUCAGAGAUUUGUGGGUUUGUUCCAAAGGCAUUUAUUGCCUUCGUCUUCUGGGGCUGUACCGCGUAAUGAAGCUCCAAAUGAUCAACCUCUGAUGCCUCCUCCUCCUUUUAGGGUUCUGUCCAGUACUGAGGCUCCGAAUGAUCCCCCUCCGGUGCCUUCUCUUUCUGGGGCUCUACCGACUACUGAGACUUCUCCUAAGCAACCUUUGUGAAGGCUCCCUCUUGUUUUUUAUUUUGACUCAAGUAUAUGUACAUAUUUGUAACUUAUCGGGGAUAUCAAUAAAUAAGCUUUCUUUCAUUUCAACGUAUUGUGUUAAAUACCCCAAAGUCUUCUUCGCUAAGUUCUUUGAAUUUUCUUUUGUUGAAGCUUGUAUGUUGAAGCUUUGUGAGUGGAGCAUGUAGGUUGAGGUAGUGUUCCCUUAAUUUCCCGAGUGUGGAAAACUUCUCGGUUGGAGACUUGGAAAAUCCAAGUCACUGAGUGGGAUCGGCUAUAUGAAUCUUAGAACGCCAUUGUGUUCUGUCCUGUGUCAUGUCCUCCGUCAGAUCCAAGUACUCUAAGUCUUUUCUUAGGGUCUCUUCCAAAGUUUUCCUAGGUCUUCCUCUACCCCUUCGGCCCUGAACCUCUGUCCCAUAGUCGCAUCUUAUAAUCGAAGCGUCAGUAGGCCUUCUUUGCACAUGUCCAAACCACCGUAACCGAUUUUCUCUCAUCUUUCCUUCAAUUUCGGCUACUCCUACUUUACCCCGGAUAUCCUCAUUCCUAAUCUUAUCCUUUCUUGUGUGCCCACACAUCCAACGAAGCAUCCUCAUCUCCGCUACACCCAUUUUGUGUACGUGUUGAUGCUUCACCGCCCAACAUUCUGUGCCAUACAGCAUCGCCGGCCUUAUUGCCGUCCUAUAAAAUUUUCCCUUGAGCUUCAGUGGCAUACGGCGGUCACACAACACGCCGGAUGCACUCUUCCACUUCAUCCAUCCAGCUUGUAUUCUAUGGUUAAGAUCUCCAUCUAAUUCUCCGUUCUUUUGCAAGAUAGAUCCUAGGUAACGAAAACGGUCGCUCUUUGGUAUUUCUUGAUCUCCGAUCCUCACCCCUAACUCGUUUUGGCCUCCAUUUGCACUGAACUUGCACUCCAUAUAUCUGUCUUUGAUCGGCUUAGGCGAAGACCUUUAGAUUCCAACACUUCUCUCCAAAGGUUAAGCUUUGCAUUUACCCCUUCCUGAGUUUCAUCUAUCAACACUAUAUCGUCUGCGAAAAGCAUACACCAAGGGAUAUCAUCUUGAAUAUGUCCUGUUAACUCAUCCAUUACCAACGCGCUGUUAUGAUUCAUAACUAGGCAAUUUCCUCUCAUAUUUCCUUUGGUUGUGUAAUGAUUUCCUUUUGUCCUAACUUCACUUGCCAUCAUAUGUUCAGGAUUGGGUUACCCUUGGUAGAGCACAGUUAAACUUUGGGGAGCCUGAUAGUGCCAUUCAAAGCUUCGACAGAGCCUUAGCCAUCAAGGUAUUGUUUCACCUUUCAAGAAAUUAUAAUCUGUAGUUCUCAAAGCUUCUUACGCUAUUUUCUGAUGCGUCUUUGAGCCACUGACCUUAGGUUGGAGUCUGAUACUGCAAUAUUAUGUGCUAAUCUAAUAAACCUGCAACUUAUUCAUCUUCGUCAUGAGUAAUUUUUGGUUUUUUCAUUGAAAUAGGGAUUUAGUGGAUGAUUGUUUUCAACACAUAUUAGUUAAAAUGAGUUAAGUAUUGGGUGCCAAUCCCAUGUCUGCAAAUCACAGUACCCUAAGGAAAAAACAUUGUCUGCACGAUCUGUAAUACAUGUUCAAGCAAGAAUCUUUUCCCAAACUAAAAAGCUUACAUUUCAAAACGUGUAAAAGAUGUGCCACUAUCAUCUUACGGUCUUUAUUUUUUGUUUUGUUGGGUGAUGCAGUUUGAUCGAAUCAGUUUGAAUUGAAUAAUCCUUGAAGUGACAAGAAGGAACUGACUAAGCAAGUAAUAAUUCUUAAUUACUUACAUGUUUUCAUUUUAAUUUAUGAUUUGAUUGGCCCUUUCUUAUAUAAAUUUCGAGCUCCUUAAUUGUUGGACCAUGGAUAUGUUAUGAGUGCUGAUUAGCGUAUGUGUGUAAAUAUAGUGUAUGGGUGUUAAGUACUUCAGAUGUUAUUGACGAUCUCAGAAGAGAAGGGGCAUCCCCUUCUUCUGCUUUUUCUUUUCUCGCUUUCUAUCCUACAGUUGUUUCGUCUUCGCUCAUUGCAAAUGUAUUUGUAUUUUGAAUUUAUUUUAUCCAUAUUACUGAAAAGAUGUUGUGAUCUCUUAGAGUUCAAUGGAAGCACUUGAAUCGGUUGUGUGAAUUUUAUGAUAAAUUAUGCAGUUUUGGGUUUGAAUCUUUGUUUGGUGAUUGGAGAUUGAUUUCUCUGUUUCUUCGUUGCCGAUUCAGUUGCUCCAAUGGCUUCAUCAGAGAAGGUUGUGUCUGCUGUUGGUAUGCUUGCUGUUGUUUCUCACGUUGUUAAUUGUUUUUUAAUUUUGUUGAUUUGAUUAACGGUACAAGCAUAUCUUUAUUUAUGUUUGUAUCUUGAUUUGCUUAACAGUUCAAGCAUAUCUUUUUUGUGUUUAUUAUUUCCUUGGUGUUUAGUUUUAUUUGAAUUUCUUAAUUUGUUCAAAGGAUGCUUUAGGUAGUAUCCACUUUCUAUGUUUUUUAUUAACUGCUAAAAUAGGUGUCUGCCGCACAUGACAUAUAUUUUGCCAUCUUAAAGGGCAAAAUAUGUGUGAACUGCAUGUUGCUUUGGUUUCUUCUGUUUUUUAUGGAAACAGAAAAUUUUUGGCGACCACGUGUUUGUGAUCAAGAACGUUAAGUUUCGUUCUACUAAUUGUACAAUGUCUUUACAUGUCAGCUCAGUUGAAUGUAUAUAAAAGCCAAGCUGCUUAUCUUAUCGACCUCAUUUACUCAUGUAUCCUCUGUUUGUUCAUAAUUGUGUUGAAUUUAUUCAACUUAAAUGUGUUUUAUUCAUCUGAUUAUGCCUGAAACACUGGUUCCCACAGCAACGCGCGGGCAUAUAUUCUAGUCUAUUCUAAAACCGCAGCAACGCACGGGCGUAUAUUCUAGUCUAUUCUAAAAUUGAGGAAGGAUUUACUGUUCGUUCAGCUACAGUUAAAUUUUUGCCCCUCAAUUUCACCUUAUUUACAAGAAACCCAUCAGAUUUGGGCUGGGUUGGAAGGGUAAUUAUUAGAACUAAGGAGGUAAUUUUGUCCAUAGGGUGGGACGGAUUGGCCCUUGAUUUCACCUUAUUUACAAGAAACCCAUCAGAUUUGGGCUGGGUUGGGAAGGUAAUUCUUAAAAGUUAGGAGGGUAAUUUUGUCUCUGAAUAAUUUCAAAAUAUUUACGGUUUUACCAGGAUGCUGCUUUCCCGAGUGGAUUUCUUCCUCUCUCAUCAGCUUUCUCUCUUUUCAUUUCAUCUUCGCUCAAGUUUCUCUCAACCCUAACCGUCCCUCAUAUUUGUCUCUUCACUAAUCAUUUAGAUGAACUCCUCUCGCACUGCCUUUUUUUUUGCUGUCUACUGUUUCCGUCUUUGUCUCGACGAUCAUCUGCUGCCCUUUUUGUUACUGGAAUAGUCUUCUGCUCCUACGAAUGUCUUUGGUUUGAAACCCUUAGUUGGCUACAAGUUUUUGCCGUUUUCGAUUUCAUCGAAAUUCAUUUUUUUCCUCGCGUGAUCUAGCAUCUUCUGGUGAUUUUAAGGUCUUUUUCAGUGUGCCUAAUUUAAUUUCUUUUUUGUGGUUUUCGAUUUGCAGGUGGAUGUUUGAUUUUUUUUUUCCUGUGAUUUUGGGGGGUUAUGUCUCUGUGCUAUGAUCUUGCGUGUGGUUGUCUAAUUUGUUUCGGUUUUUGCUUUCAGGAAACGAUGCUAGCGAGGAAUCGCCGCCACCAACAGAACUUGUAGACUUGGACUAUCAGAUUCUCACUCAACCCGAGUGGUGCCGGUGUUGAGAAGCUCACCAAGAGCAGGCCCCGUACCACCGCUGCCAUCUCCAUUGUUUGGGGAAAAUCCAUCGGAGAAGAUAAGGACUCCAUCUUCUCCAAAUUAUCAUUGUUUAUUUAAUAUUUUAUUAUUGUAUCUUUAAUAAUUCCUUACCACUACAUUCAUUAUUUAAAUGUUAGAGUGAAACUUUAAUCAUUCAUGGCAGGGUACAAAUACAGAGUGUAAUAUACACCCACUAUCUCACUGUCUGGAAAACUCACUAAGAAGAUAAGAGCAUGUGUAUCUUCUUUACAGCUCAUUGUUUAAUAUUUUAUUAUUAUGUUGACCUAAAACAUAUCACAUCACAUACCAUUUUAUUAUUUAAUCCAUUAGACACAUGGGUAGGCGGAUCACAUUCACCUAAAACCCUCUUUAAUCCGUUCACCCACUACAUCAUUUUGAGUAUUAUUGUAUUAUUGCAACGACAAUUUACAAGAAUAAGCAUUACUAGAUGUACACCCACUACAAGAAUAAGCAUUUCUGAUUAAAUUAUUAUUUUUGAUAAACCCAUUUAGAAUCUGAUCUGGGUUUUGUCUGGAUUCCAGGGUAAAAACUGUGAAACUUAAAGUUGGUUUGAUCUGGGUUUUCCAAGUUCUGCAUGGAACUGUUGGCUGCUGCUGCUCCGCUCCCACAAUGCUCAUUUUUUACACAUUGCUUCGUUGAUCCGAUCCCCGCUCCAAUCUGCCAAACAGGUUCGUCCCCCCUCCCAAAUCCCUAAUUCGUAUUGUUUAUUUUUGUCCGAAUUUUGAUCUGAUUUUUUUUUCCAUAUUUCCAGUAAAUCAUUUGUUAUUCCUUCUCAUCUCUCUCAAGUGCUUUCACUGAAAUUUUAAGUUCUUGGAUCGUAUUUUGUUUCUGAUUUUUGUUUGCGUUCAGUGUGAUUUUGUGUGAAAGAAUCAAAGAUGUUGGGAAUUUUAAGGCAAAAAGUGGGAGCUGGAAGCUCAUCAGCUAUGGUACACCCUCUACUUCUGCAAUUUAUGAACUUUCAUUAUAUAAAACACUUGAUUAAUUUAUUAUUAUGUGAUUUACUGCCUAAUCUUUGUGUUGGUUCAGAUUUUGGGGCAGAGGAUCCGCCCUGCCACAUCGGCAAUGAGGGGUUGCGCAUCUUUGGCGAAAGAGGUAAUCUGACGCCUACCAUCAUCUAAUCUUUGGCAUUUAUAAUCCAUGCGAUUGCUUAACAAAAAAUUUGUGGUUUUUGCUUUUUUAGAAGAUUAAUUUUUGUAUAAAAUAUAAAUCUUAUAAACAUUCUACCCAUUGUUUAGUUUAACGAAUUUUGUAGUGUUAGUUCUGCACCAUUCCAAUUUGCCUUUGAUUGGAUAAAUAAUAGCAUUGUUUAGCUAAUUUGCAAAUUUCCUCAUAUUCCUCAGCAUUUUUAGUCAAAAAUUUUAGAUUUUACAGAUUUUUCCAGUUCAGGAUGAUAAAAUUUAGGGCUUUGAUUUGUUGAUGUGAUUUCCACGUACUCUGAAUUCAAAUAGAAAUGCAAGGAUAUAUUAGAUGUGUGAGUAAAUUUUCAGUCUUCAUAUAUUUGUUUAACCCUUAACGAUACGUGAAUUAUUGAUUGAUAAUUUGAUAAUAUGUAUGCUAUUAUUGAUUAAGAAAAAUUAAUUCGUUAAUUUGUAGGGCUUGGUUGUUUUGGCAUGUUGAUGUUAUAAAGCUCAUUUUUAUAGUUAGGUUGAAGAUCAUGUUAGUAGAUUUUUUUUUUGGUUGGUUCGGAUCGGGCAAUUCCGGAGGCCCUGCCAUCGAGGUUAGUCUGAAGCAAUUCCUAUCUUAUUACUUAUUACAUGUCAAAAUCUGCUUCAAAUUUGUAAUUUAAUAUAAUUGGGCUUUAGAAAAAAAUUCAUGAUUUUGUCUAAUCCAAUUGAGUGAUUAGAAAAAUUUUCAUCAAAUUUCUGGGUUCCUGGGGGGUUCUGAAUCUUGAUGUUGAGAGAGCUUGGUUGCUUUAAUUGCUAAUGAAAUUAGCUUCUAAACAUUCAUAAUUUGCUUUUUUAUUUUCGUUCUAUAUUUUCUUUGAGUUCAGACCCUGCGUAAAGCGGAAGCCUUGUGCACUGGGUACGACCUUUUUAUUUUCUUUGAGUUCAGAUAUAUUUGUUUUUUUUUUUUUUGUGAUAUAUUGCCGAUGCCAAAAUAUCAUAUUUACAAGGACAAAGAUAGCAAGGUUCUAAAUCAAAUUUUUAUCCUGGUUCUACUGUUGGGUUCACUAUCAAUAAAAGGCACAUGAAAUAUGGUAUUGAUUUUAGAGCCUUUGAUUUCUCAGAUUGUUUUCAUAUAUCGAAUGUCAUCUGAAUUUAAUUGUAGUUAAUUUGUCAAAGUUUGUUGUUGUUUAGCUUUUUCAAAUGGCAGCCUUAGUAUUUGCCCGGUAUUUUUUGUGAAUUCCAAACUUUGCUUAUAAUUGUAGGUACGUAAAAGCUGCCAAUUGGAUUUGUUCCCCAGAUGAUAAUGGCAUACCUAUAUAAUGGUUGUUCUUUUGCUUUGAUGUAGAAGUAAGAAAAUUGUUUUGCCCCUUAUGUAUCCUGCUUCUUUUUGUCCGUGUGUUCUUUGUUCAAAGGUUGGUUGGUUGUUAAACUUGCUGCUGUAGAAGAGUUAAUUUCUGGUAGGCAGAUGAUUAUAGUGUUGUUCCUAUUAUGCAUAAGGUCGUGGUAAUAAUAUUGUGAGAUUUUAUGUCUGCAUAAAUCCUGUAGUGGUUUUGAUAAUCAGAAAGUAAUCUCUCAACUUCUUUGUGAUUAUAGUUGCUUUGAUACUGUCAUAGGGACUUUUAUCAUACUUACAAAUUGAUUUUGAUAUAUCCAUUCGUAGGUUUAAAAUUUUUGUCAAACCCAAAAGUUACCUUGCUGGGUAUAUUUAAAAAGUAGUUUAAUUAAUCAAUAUUACUGUGGUAGUUUUCAAGUAUUUGUUAAUUGGAAUUAAUCCUUUUGGUUUUAUUUUUAAAAUUACAUAUCUGUGGUAAGGAGAGAUACCUAUUGAAGUUUUGAAUUUCCAUUAAAUCUGAUCAUCAGGUGCUUAAAGAUUUGAAUUUUUAAAGUGGUUCCACAAAACCUACGAAGUGGUUCCACAAAAAUCUGCAAAGUAGACGUUAUGUUGCUUGCAGCAGUAGAUUGUUUAGGGUUUAGGGUUUAAUUAAAAAAGAUAUACAAAAAAAAAAACUAGGUAAUGAGGCACUGAAUUGGGUUUGAGAGUUUUGAUAUUAUGAGAGAGGUAGGGAGUAUAUAGGGAGAGAGGGAGGUAGGUGAUUUGCAGAAAUGGAGGGUGAGAGAAAAAGGGGAGAAAAGGGGUAGUACAUUCUAUUUUGAUUUUAUAAUUUUGGGGGUUUUGUGUUUAAACUUUUUUAGUACUUUUUUGUAGAUAUAGCCUACAAAUGUUGAUCCAAAGGUUGGACAUAAUCAUUACUUUAAAGUUAAUUAUAUUAUCUAAAGUUGAUUUGAAUGUGAUGAUGAUGUCAAUGUAUAUGUAAAGCAGAAGUUUUACUCUUUCGUGUUGUUUAUCUCAAUCUAGCUCUGGUAUUUUGAGGGUCUCCGAGAAUACAAUAUACUGUGACUCGGGUCUCAUAGCUUUCUUGCUAUAUGAUAUCAUAUAAGUAAAUGCUAGAAUGCUAAAUUUUAACCAAGACCAUACUCACAAGCAAAAUACAAAUACAAAAGUUCAUUUUAAAAUGAAGGUUGUGAUUUAUCGAAAGAUGUUCCGUAAACAUAGGAAUUAUGGAUAUGUAGGCAUAUGUAUUUUAGCAUUAUGUGAUGAAUAGGUUUAUUUUUUCUUAAAUUAUUUUUCUUUGGGUAUUGCAUGUCAUGAUCACCACAGUGAUGUUUGAUGUUCUUCUUCAGGUGCUUCUUGGGGAUGUUGGAGCUGGGAAAUCGAGUCUGGUGUUGUGCUUUGUAAAAUAACAAUUUGUUGAAUUUCAGGUUUGUUCUAUAUCUUUCAAAGGACGCAUUUUCUUUUUUAUCCAUACCUGUACUUUUAUAGUAUGUUAUUACCAGAAUCAAUUGCCACCCUUAGUUGGUGGUAUUAUCUUUACAACACAUUCAAAGCAGCGAAUAAAAUCGCACUUGCUAUUUGUUCUGUCAACUGGACUACUAAAGUAGAACUAUAGAAAUAUCUGGUGAAAGCAAUGAAGAAAUCACUAUGAUUGAUCUGCAAAGAAGCUCUAAUAAGUUACAAGAGAGUAGCAAUGUAAAUUGAACUGUUUAUUUUGGGGAUCAAUUCACCUAUCUCUUGCUUUUUCUUUCAUUUGGAGAUAAUUGUGUAAAUGUGUUGUUUUGUGAGCGUUACUAAUGUAAAACGUGUGUUAUCUGAAUUGCUACAUUUAAGAAUGUGAUUGUAUUCCUGUAGCAUUUUCAGUUAAUUUUGCUAUGAAUAUUAUUCAUGGUUUGAAAACCCGCAGCAAAGCGCGAGCAUUCCUACUAGUGAUAUCGAUUCUGGAAGCAUGCUAAAACAAGGCCGUUUGGCCGCAAUUCACAAGAAUUGCUCUGCCUCCGCCUCCGCCCCGCCCUCGCCCCCCCUCGGCCGCCGCCGUCGUCGCUGCCCGAGCAGUUCAAAUUCAAACAACAACCCCAAUUAGGCUUCCACAACAUCAACAACCCUUGCGUUGAUCUGUACUUUCAUUGUGCCAAGGGACAUGACGCCAUGUCGAUCGUGGAAAUCCACGAAACUCUGAUGAACCAAGUGCUUCCCUCGUCCUGGUCGCAUAAUCCUCUAACCACCCUCAAACUCAUUUGCGCGACGAUGGUGGAAAACGCAACCAAGACGAAGCUUUCUUCACGGCGGCUGUUUGGCUCCACCAGAACCACCCCAAAACCCUUGCCUACAAUCUCGUGCCAAUUUCCAGCUCCUUCGGACAUAUCCUAGACCUUCCCUGCAUUCUCUCGCAGGUUCUACGGGGUGAAGCUUACUUGAAAUUUACUAGGAGGACGAGGGAGGAGGCGGAUUCAAACGGAAUGGUGAAGGUCAAGGAAAAGGACGCCAAGUCAAAGGCAAGUGAAUUGUUGUUGAGGAGGAAUGCGAUCCGCACGGCCAACAAGGCGGCUCAGAGAUACGAGCGCGACGCUGAUUACCGCUUCUUGCACGAUCGUGUUUCAGAUAUUUUCGCCCAGUGCCUCAAGUCUGAUAAAAAAUUUCAUCAUCACAAGGACCAUGACCAUGACCAUCAUGAUGAUUACUGCUUGGAGAUUACCUAAGCGGCUACCUUUUUGCCUACCAUUGCUGAUCAUCUUAUGUUGUUCGUAAACAUUGCAAGGAAGGUUUUCCUGCCAGAAUCAUGCCUCCGAGAAAGGGAUGGUAGUGUUUGUUGUAUUGACCGACUGAGGAAGAAGGUUUUGUUGCCCUUGAGAAAAACUAUGGCGCCAGAGGGUUGGGAACCUGCCUAUCGGUGGGGUUAUAGAGCAGAGUACAAGCUAGAGCAUCUGGCUGCAGCCAAUGAGAUUGAUCCUGGCAAUGCUGCACUGCUUCCGCAUGACAUAUUAAGCUAUAUCAAGUAUCCUGAGCUCGAGUAAGAGGCUGAUGUUAAGUGGAAGAAAAUGGUGGAGGUCUACUCAAAGCAGAGGAAGCUGAAGAAUUGGCUGGCUGUGUGAUGUCGACAACACCUUGUCGGCGGGUUUGGCUUUGGGGCUUUUGUUGCCACAGUUGAGUGACGAGCCAUAGAAGGGAAAAGUGGUCACCUAAAGCAAACCCUCAGCUGCAUUCGAUACAAGGCGAGGUUCUUAAUUCGAGGGCCGAAUAUAUGCAGACUUUGAUCAAAAGCCAGGACUGGACGACUGAUUUUGGGAAGGUGUUCGCUGUGAUUCUAGAAAAGGCAAUGAAUGCCGAAUUUGAAGCCAGAUAAGAUGGUCAAUAAGGUCCUUGCCUUGACCACAUACAAACACUCCUUGACAGGCAGCAAC